rnacentral:lncRNA from 1 species
UCUGCUCAAGCCCGGAAACCAUCUCAUUGCAGCUUAGAAAGUUAUCAUAGCUGUCUCGACAAGGGCAACAGCAUAGGGAAUGCCCCGAUGGAUGCCCACUCUCUAGUGUUCAGUGGACAAGAUCAGCUUAUGCUCGGUGAUAAAAUGUUGUACUUUGCAAGACCGUACGUGUCAGAUAACAAGACAAANNNNNNNNNNNNNNNNNNNNNNNNNNNNNNNNNNNNNNNNNNNNNNNNNNNNNNNNNNNNNNNNNNNNNNNNNNNNNNNNNNNNNNNNNNNNNNNNNNNNNNNNNNNNNNNNNNNNNNNNNNNNNNNNNNNNNNNNNNNNNNNNNNNNNNNNNNNNNNNNNNNNNNNNNNNNNNNNNNNNNNNNNNNNNNNNNNNNNNNNNNNNNNNNNNNNNNNNNNNNNNNAUGAUACUAAAUAUUUCACGAAACAUUUGGCAAGAUGCUGAGAUCUUUAAUAAGGAUAGCAGUGUUGCACGUUCUUAUUCACUUAUAAUCACAAUUAGUUGUUGUAUUUGGUCACUUCCCUUCCAUGUUAGUUGCAUGUUCAUAAUUUCUAUGGAUGCCGAUUCAAUUAUAUUUAAUUCCAUUUCUUUCUAACCGCCCCUUGCUCUGCCAGGAUUUUCAAAAGAAAUCAUGUGACUCUUAGUAUGUACGUAGCGAGUAAUUUUUCAUGUGACCAGUAACUUUUUACAAGAUAUUCGACUUCCAAUAUAUAAAUAAAUACUCACCUAUUUACAUUAUUAAUAAUUUUUUACAUAAAAGGUAACCUAUCUACAUUGAUUCUUAUCGUCCCAUGUAUUUUUUUUUUAAAAGGACAAGUUUGAAAAAAAAUUGAUGCUUUUUGCAACGUAACAGUAAAUCUUAAUUUGUAAGACCAAAAAUUUACAUGAAGUUUGUAACCUAUUCAUGGGAUGAGUAAGUUUUGCUUUAAAAAAGUAAUUACCACCGACCCUGUUUAAUAAAAGAAAAUAUAGGAAUUGACAAACAAUAUGUAAGCCGCCCACGGUCUAGAAAGUGAAAAUUAAAGUUUUUUUUUUCUCAGCAGCUGUAAAUGAAAAUUUCUCCCAAGGGGGCUAAAGAACAAAUGAGCCCGGCUUUUUUCUGAUGAUGCCCAUUUUCCUAGUUUCAUCACAUGCUUUCCUUAGAAAACAGUGCACGUUCACCUGCUUAGAAAACAGUGCAUGUCCACAUGCUUUCCUUAGAAAACAGUGCACGUUCACAUGCUUUCCUUUUAAUACAGUGCCGGUUCUCAUGCAUGCCCCAGUUGUUUUGUAGUAAACACUAGAGUAUUAAGAUUAAUAGAACUUGGAUCUUGAGAAGACGAAAAAUUAUCAUAGCUGCGGGGGCAACUUAAAAUCUAACUUCACGUGGUAAAAAAAAAUUAUGUUAAUGAAUUUCCGCUUUUGUCCGAAUAAAAAACUGAAGAAAAGAUUAUGAAGUAUAAAGUGUGAAUGAAGUAGUAUGAAACCUUUGUGUGCAAAAAAGAAAUUGCAGAUUGGUAUAGAAGUACAAUGUGCGGUGGGAUAACAAAAAAGCAAGCUGAUGAGGAUGCUUUUCGACUUUAGAUUUUAAUAUGCGGAAUGGUAGAACAGCUCUUAAAGUUGGCUAUUCUUCUCUUGUGAAUUCCAUUUAGAAUUGGAAAUUGGGACAUGUUACAUCUUCUUAUAUGCCCAAUUUGAAGAAGGCUAAAUAUCCUAAAUAUGUAAAUCUUUACACCAUAUAAGUCAUAUUUUUAAAUCCAAAUAAAAGACAUCGAUAGUUUCCCUAAGCAUUCUUUGUUUCAUCAAUCUAUUCAUUUUCAGAAAAGCUCUCUGGUUAGUCGCUAUAAGAAAGAACGAACCUGGCUAAUAGUGGGCUAAUCGACGACCGACCAACAAAGGUGAGGACCCAACCGACCAGAUCAAGAGAGGAGGACAACAAAUAGUGUCGGCAAGAUCAAGAGAGAGAUGAGAUGAGACGAGACGGCAUGGGCAAAGACUCUAGGAAUAGAGAGAUCAAGGGCACUGUUUGGGAAAGUCGAGAGACGAAGAGUCUAAGAGAGAGGCUAGCUAUGAAAGUGAGAACUAAAAGAGAGUAGCGAGGGUCUUUAAAUAGAAAAGAUUUAGCAUUGUUUUGAACUGUUCCAAACCAGUUCUUCCAAAGGCUGGUUCCCAAGAUUUUUACAUGAGAGCUAAUCGAAAGUUGUUGAGGUCAGUGAAUCUGAAAUGUUGCAGCACGUGGCAGAGCGUGACGUGCAGCAGCGAACAGGGUUGAAAUUUCAAGGCCUAUCACUUGGGAGGACGGUGAGUUUGAUGAGUUUGAUGAUGGCGUCGAUUUUGCGAGAAAAACAAUAUAAAGGGGGGGGGGGGGGGGGACAUCCAAUAGCGACGGGUUUGACCAAUACAUGAGACUUAAUGGUGCUUCAUCUAUUAAUAAUGGCUCUUGUACCAUGAUAAGAAUAAAAUGAAGAGAGAAAAUGGGGAAUAACUGUAUAUUUUUAUGUAUUGAUAAACAAUACGUGAGACUUUAUUAGAUAACUAUUUAAAGUAAUAAGAUAAAUAUAAUGCCACAUAUAAUUAAAUAAGGAUAUGCAUUAUUGAAGGAGAUAUAUGUAUAAUCCUGAAAAAUAUGCAAAAUCAAGUAAAUAUCCAAAUAUCAUUAACAAUUAGAAUGGAGAUUUUACAUACUAUAUACUAAAAAUCAAAUGUUAAUUUGUUAAGGGCGGAUCUAUUUCCACCCCCUAAAUAACUUUAUCCAACCCCAUUUAUACUAAAAAGACAACAUUAUUCUUAAUCUUUCAGUUGCAGUUUAUAUUGAUGGCCCCUUUCCUUUUCUAUUUAGGAUAAUUACGAUAAUUAAACAUUUCAAAUGUUUUGUUUUGCUUUUUAGUGUAUUAAAGCAAAGUGCAUUAUCAAAUAUUCUCAUAACGUUUUAUAUACUCCCUAUCAAAUUAUCUCGCUAAUAGUAAAUACAUUUUUUGAUAUCGUAUAAAAUUGAAAAGUCUCUUCUUCAUCAUUGAUCUUAUAAUAAUUUAUCAAUUUUUUGUCCCUCUUAUCUCAAAAACUCACUUCCUAGGUGGACUUUUUUAUUAAUUUCAUUAGUCUAAAAUAUUUAUCAAGUCCCUUUAUUUACUAUAUCAAGGAAUUUAUCUUGUUUCCUUAUUAUAUUGGCGAGAUAAUUUUAUAGAAAGCAUGUAAGAAUAUACUAAAAAUAUUGUGUGCAAUGAGGUAUCUUGAUAUUUUUACAUAAACAGUUCAUAGAUGAUUUUGAUUUUUCUCAAUCCAAAGUUCUUACUUUAUGUGAUGUUUUGGUUUGAUGAAAUUUUAUCUACUUAACAAUUUAUCCAUAAAUUUGAUCAACUAUGUAGAAAAAAAAUAGAUUUCUUGGAAAUUUCUCUUUUCGACUAAACAAAUCUUUAUGGAAGUAAUAUCUAACUGUAAAAAAGCACAGUGCCUUUAAUUUACCUAGAAAAUCUGCAAUAAACAAAAAAGUAAAUGUAUGAAAUUCUUAAUUUCAGUAUAGAUUUUACAUGGAUAUAGAAAUACUAAAAAAAUGGAAAAAAAAUUAAUUUGGGACAAUCAAUUUAAAUUGCAAUUGAAUGAUCGAAGGUAGUUUUGCCUUUUCGGUGAAAGAUGGAUGGAGUUAGUCAUAUAGGGUUGGAAAAAGCGCCCCCUUUGUUAAUUGUCCCUCAUUAAUGGCCAAUCACCUCAUUUUAAAGACAACUUAACAUCGGCACCAUACCUUAAUUAUUUUAUAGAAACUCUCUUAAGGCGAUAUGGUUGUACAAUAACAAUAGAAAAAUUGAAACUACCUAAAUGACAUACAUUGAUAGCAAAACCUCCCUUCAUCAAUGCUCAAAACUAUUUCAUCACUUGCUUUCCUCGGAAAACACUGCAGGUCACAUGCAUGCCAAAUUGUUUAGUAGUAACAUCGUAUUCAAAUUAGUAGGAUCUUGAGAAGAUAUAAAAUUAUUAUAGCUCUCUGGGCAACUUCAACAUCUAACUUCUCUUGGUAAAAAAACUCAUGUUCAUGAAUCUCCGCUUUUGCCCUAAAACAAAAAGAUGAAAAAGAUUAUGGAAUACCAUAUCUAGUAUGAAAUCUUUUAUGUGCAGCGAAAAAAAAAAUUAAAUUUUCUUACUGAAGUACCAAUGUGUGGUGGGCACAUAAAACCAAGCUGAUGGGGAUGUUUUAUAACUUCAAAAUUUUAAAAAAAGAAAUGGUAAAACAGCUCUUGAAGUUGGCUUUUUGCGAAUACUUUAAAAAACUGUAUUGUUUUCUCGUGUGAAUACUUUAAUAUCUAUCUAGAUUAUCUAAAGUACCCUUUAACAUCUAUUUUGAUUAUCGACACGUCCGUAUGUGAUGCUAGAAAGACUAGUAGGCAUCGUCUUUCAUAGAGGAUGUGGUAGGAGAAGUAACUCUUCUUGACAACUCUUCUGGAAAGAUGUAAUUUUUGUUUGGGAAAAUGUCAUAAAUGGUCCCUAUACUAUUACUUAAUGUGCAAUUUGGUCCCUAAACUUUCGAUCGGCUCAAUUUGAUCCCUAAACUAUUGAUAAAUGUCUGAUUUGGUCCAUGAACUUUCGAUCGGCUUAAUUUGAUCCCUGAACUAUUGAUAAAUAUCCGAUUUGGUCCCUGAACUUUUGAUUGGCUCAAUUUGAUCCUUGAACUAUUGAUAAAUAUCCGAUUUGGUCCCUGAACUUUCGAUCGGCUCAAUUUGGUCCCUGAAUUAUUGAUAAAUGUCCGAUUUAGUCAUUCGUUAAUGUUUUUUUUUUCCUUUUUUUUUUGCUUCUUUUCUCUUCGGAGGGAAGCCAGCGUCCGGAGAGGCGAGCUAGCGGAGGGAAGAGAGAAGAAGCAAAAAAAAGAAAAAAAAUAUGGAGACAACUCUAGAUAUUGAAGGCCAAAUCACCUCAAUUGUCACUCAUUAAUGGCCCACCACCUCAUUUACAUAAAACUUAAUAUAAGCACCCACCUCAUUUAUUGUGAAAGAACUCCUUAAUGAUAAUAUAAGUGCACAAUAAUAGUAAAUGAUAAAUAAUAUUUGAAUGACAAAUACCAAUUACAAAACCUAUGUCUAUAUGCAUAUAUUGAAAAAAUAUGUAAAUUAACAUGUCUGAUUAAUGUUAAGGAAAGAAAGAAUGAAUGAAGUUUUGCAAUGAUACAGCUCAACCAUUAAGCUCUAUUCUAUCUUACUUUCUUAUUAUAUAUAUUAGCUUAGCAAUGGUCUCUUCAGCAAUGCUCCCGAGGACAGCUUUGGCCAUUUUUGUUCUCACUUUGGAUUAGAAGAUGAUUAGUCUUGUGGUUCCAAGUCCAUAGACUUCUUGGGACAUGUACAGCAAGUCUGUGUUGAAAAUAGCAUUUCUCAUCGGCCACGCAUAACAUAAGGUGAAGCUUAAGUCCAUAAUGCAUCUAGGACCCACCGACAUUGAUAUUUAUUUCACAGGUUGGUUUUAUCUGGCAGUUUCUGAGGCCCGGAAGCAAGGGAGAAUAGGACCAAGUUGUGAAAGCAAAUUGCCUCUCCAAGUACAAACACUUCAUUUUUUUUCCCAAGGUUUUAUUCUAUAUAUUAAUUUUUUUAAAUUAUGGAGGUCAUUGUUUAAUUUAUUGGGAUGGAUUUUGAGGUAUGACAAAGUUGGUAACAAAAAAAAACCUAGGGCAUAUUAGUUUGCUUUGAUCCAACACCGUGAGAUGUGUGAUGUGAUUAAUUAGUAACUUAUAUGUGUAGAUAUAUUGAUACGUACGAUAUACAUGUUAGGACAGAGAUUAUUUCCAUUAAAAUAGAAAGUUUUAUAUACAUGGAUAACACCAGAUUUGUUAACAUUCCAUUGCCAGCACUACACCAGCACUACGCCUCUCAAUUCAAAACUCUCCUUCGUAUCUUCACUUGACAUUAUUGGUAUUAUUUUACUAAAACCUUACUGUUUAAGGAAGUUCACUCUCCUUGCCAAUCUUUCAAAACUAUUUGCUUCCUAUGAAUAAAAUGCUUCUAGAUUAUUUCUUUCUUCCUUUAUUUUUUCAUAUUCUCUAAAUAAAUGAAUAAAAUUGCUUUAAAGAUCUCUCUUCCAUUACUAGACAAUAUGAAAACUUGCACAUUUAUGUAAUGUAAAAUGAUAUAUUUAGACAUUUUAUGCAUGCCACUCCUUUUUUAUAAAUUUCAAAAGGAUUCACAUGUAGGGCAAAACGACGUACACACGAUUUUUUCUAGCAUAUACAAUAUGUACAAAAUCUUUUACUAUCUCAGUAUCCUAUUGCAAUUAUUAGUUUAGGAUACUCUUUAGUUCAAAUUUAUAGCUUUUUCUUUAACAAUUACUAUAAGAUAAUUCAUGUUUCUUAUCUUUUGAGUCCGGCACUUAUUCCAAUACCCCUAAUAUAUUAUUCUUCCAUUCGAUGUACACAAUCAAAUCUUUGCCAAGUUUCCUUGUGGAUGUUUUCUAAUAGUGCUUGCAAGACCGUAAGAAUUCCUAGUUGGUCAUUAAUGACAAGUUAGUGACAUCGGACCAAGUAGACCUCGUGUGACAAUAAAAUUUGUUGAAGUGGUAUGGAUUAUUGUGACAUGGCUAGAAUGUGCAAAGCAUCUUUUAAAAUCCUAGAAAAAUUCGGAGUGUUAAAACAAUCCAUGCCGCUUUCUUGCUUGAAUACUCUAAUACCUGCUUGAACUACGCGGGAUACCCUUAACAUACUUGUGGAGCAUCUUUUGUAGUGUAAACACGUUCAUCUCUGUGUAUGCGCCUAAACUAUGUGCGAAAGACCAGUAGCCAUUAUCAUUCAUGGAGGAUGUGAUAGGAGUAACUCUACAUAACCUUGUGCAGCAAUGAAAUUUGUAACUCUUCCAAAAAGAAUGUAACUUUUGUCUUCCCUUCCCGAGAAUAUGUUUCCCGACAAUCAUUUCGACAAGCAUUUCCUUUUUUUUUUCCAUUAUAGAAACAAGAAAUACUGUUUGUCCACUGGUGCUUUUCAAAGAAUUUCUCCAAAUUUUUUUUGUCUCGAAAGUGAAGCAAAAGACAAAAAGAGUAAUGGCAAAGAAACUCCAAUAAAUUCCAAGAAGACCACAAAUUUUGCGGACACAAAUUGAAGUUUGUUGCUUCGCUUUUCGCAUCCCUCCUCAUGAGAACGUCUCUUUUUCCAUCACUAGUAGAACUUCCAUGCAUUAUGUUUGGAUUAAUCUCUGUUGUUUUUUCUUUUUUCAAAAUUGUCUCAAUUCGAGGCAUUUGUUAAAAAAUUGCCACAUCGUAAUGAUUUUAUUGACACAAUUCGUUUACCCUGUGAAUUGGGUGAUGUGGAGAGAGUUUGUAUUGGCUUAGAUAAUCUUAGCAUCUAGUGUCUUUGUUGACGUGGCAACAUCUCAAGAUGCCAUAUUGGACACUUAUAUGGACAUUUAACAACUAUUUAACGGUGUUGGCAUCAUGUCAACAUUUUUCAUUUGGAACAUUAACGAAGUCCUCACAUUGACCUCAUGAAAAAUUCAGAUAAUUGAUUGAACGAGAAAACUUUAGGUACCUAAUUGCGAAAGGGCUAAUAAUACAAGUACUUGUAAUGCCAUUGUUCCAAAGAGUUUAUCACAAAAUCAUUGGUCUAGGCUCAAAUCUCAAACAUACUUUUGUUUACGGAAUAUUUUCUCCACAACUCAUCCUCUCGAUUCAUUUCUUGGUUUCCCUUUAAUAAUUUUCUUUUGUAAGAUUAUUCAUUCUUUCGCGUGAAAGAAAACAGGAAAUAAUUUUGUUAAUUUCACGUGCCAAAAGAUUUCAAUGGCUAAAUGUCAAGCACAUUGGAGGACUACAAAAUUUCUCAAUGUCGAUUUCCCUUAGAUUUUUUCCUAAUCAUUCGAUCAUAAAAAUUCAAGCUUUACACUUGAAAAUUUUUAGUGGAUUAUCAAACGUUUGAUUGAAAAUAAACUUUUUCUUAACACUUGAUUUUAGUUCGGUUGGAUAUCAUAUUAAUAGUAUUAUCAUCACAUGUAAUUGUAUGGGCACACUUAAUUUAAAACCUUACUAUGAUUUCUUUACCAAUUACAUCUAAUUUGCCUAAAUAAUAUUUUUUGUAGAUAAUUUGUUCCAACUUUUCCAGAGAUCAAUUGAUAUCAUCUGGAAUCCCCAGUCUGACCCGCAAGAGACAACAUUGAUACCACAGAAUAUAUUGCAGCCCAAUAUAAGCAGUUAACGACUACUUAAUAGCAUUGAUGUCAUAUAAACAUUUUCCGUUCACGAUUCAAUGGAGGUCUCGCAUUGACCUACAUCCGAAUUGUCGAGAUAAUUGAUUGAAUGAAAAAAAAAAAAACUCUAGAUACUUGAUUGCCAGUUCAUAGGUAAGAAAUUUCAUGCACCUAACGAUCUACUUUUAUUUUAGUCAAUUUGAAUAUUUUUAGAAGCCGUAGAUACAUAAUGAAAUUGAUGACGUUUCUUUUAUGAAGGGUUUGCUUCAACCACACGUAUGAAAAAUCGAAUAAGCGCCUCCUCUGAUUGUCUUUCUCUUUUCCUUAUUCAGCCAGAUCCCAAAUGCUUGAAACAAGGCGCCAUCAAAUCAUAUAUAUGUGCCAAGAGAUAUAUAUAUAUAUAUAUAUAUAUACAAGGCGAUUGUUAAUGAUAGUUGUAAAGUUAUACACAUAUUUCAAUAGUAUUGAAAUACUCCCUCAUCCAUUUAAUUUUGGUGCGCUUCACCACAUUAUGGUCAGUAUUGAAUAUAUAUAUUUUUCUCUUUUAAUAUUCAAUAACUUUGCGGAUUCCAUAAUUUUUUAUUUUGUGAAAAAAGAAAAACGGAAAAUUGAUAGUGCUUGCAAUUGAGGCCUCCAUGUACCAAAUUAGAUUAGUGCAUUUGUCAAUUUAAUUAAUUAAUUAAUUAAUUAAUUAAUUUAUGUAGGCACUCAUAUUUGGUUCAAGUAUACCAACUUAUGAGGUUGGAGUUGAAAACAAUCAACCAUAAAAACAGCUCAUUUUAUGCUAAUUCCUUAUUCUUAAUCAGAUGUGAUAUGGAAAUAUCGAAUAUGGACACUAGUAAAUUUCAUAUUUUAGAUUUCAUAAUUAAAGGACCUCACUAAUUGGCAUCAAAUUCAAAUGAACUUUGGAUUUCAUAAACAAGAUGUUUACUUACUUAUUAAUUUUUUUCAUUUUUUCUUUGAUAGAUUCCAAGAAGACCAAGACUUUUACAUGUUUGUAUGUUAGUGGGAAAAAAACUUCAAUAGAUAUCAAGAAGACCAAGACUUUGUAUGUCUUUCUUGCCAUUACCAAUAGAAUUUCUAGGCGCUACAAGUCUUGCUUAAAAUUAACAAAGCCAUAAUUUUCCUUCAAUUCUUUUUGGGUUUAAUCAUUUUGGGAUUUUUUCAUUCAUUAAUCUCUAUUGUAUCGCAAAGUGAUGAUGAGCAAAUGGAGAGAGAACCAUAAAGUCCGGGAAGAUCAAGACUUUCACCUACUAAAAAUAUCAUUUUCAGACAAGGACUUUCACCUACCAAAGAUGUCAUUUUCUUUUUCAAAGAAAAAGUGAAAGAGUGAUGGCGAGAGAGAAACUAAUAUAUUCUAGGAAGACCAAGACUCUGCAUGUCAUUUGAUUGUGCACGUCUUUUGAUGGUGGGAAAGAAACUUCAAUAGAUUCCAAGAAGACCAAGACUUUUGCACGUUUGUACGUUAGUGGGAAAGAAACUUCAAUAGAUGCCAAGAAGACCAAGACUUUGUAUGUCUUUCUUGCCAUUACCAGUAGAAUUUCUAGGCGCUACAAAGUCUUGCUUAAAAUUAACAAUGCCAUAAUUUUCCUCCAAUUCUUUUCGGGUUUAAUCAUUUUGGGAUUUUUUUCAUUUAUUAAUCUCUAUUGUAUCGCAAAGUGAUGAUAAGCAAACGGAGAGAGAACCAUAAAGUUCGGGAAGAUCGGACUUUCCACCUACUAAAAAAAUCAUUUUCAAACAAGGACUUUCACCUACCAAAGAUGUCAUUUUCUAUUUUUGUGGAAAGUGAAGCAAAAGUGAGAGAGUGAUGGCGGGAAAGAAACUAAUACAUUCCAAGAAGACCAAGAUUGUGCACGUCUUUUGAUGGUGGAAAGAAACUUCAAUAGAUUCCAAGAAGACCAAGACUUUUGCACGUUUGUAUGUUAGUGGGAAGGAAACUUCAAUAGAUGCCAAGAAGACCAAGACUUUGUAUGUCUUUCUUGCCAUUACCAAUAGAAUUUCUAGGCGCUACAAAGUCUUGCUUAAAAUUAACAAUACCAUAAUUUUCCUCCAAUUCUUUUCAUUUUGGGAUUUUUUCAUUCAUUAAUCUCUAUUGUAUCUUUUCAAAUUUGAGUUCAACAAAUGAAAAGAAAAAAGCAAAGAGAAAAAACAGACAAGAAGAAAGAGCAAAAAAGUUUAAAAAGGAAGUAAAGAAGGAAAGGGGCAAGAUAGAGCACCAUUGAAGCACAUCCACAGUGUGUUGUUGCCGUUAGCACCAUCACUUUGGUGACUAUUUCCAACUUUGCCACCUUAUAAGUUACAAUGACCUUCGUAGACAAUAUUUUUCUUGAGAUGUUUUCCUUAGACUGGUUCAGAAGUUGAGGAUAAUGGCAUCGAAAUUAUCAAAACUUUCGCUUGUUUUACAAUAGAGUACCUAAACUUUUCUUUUUUCAAUCAAGUAUCUCACUUUUUCAAAUUUGAUACAAUUUGAGGCAUUCGCUAAAUGAAUCAUCAUGUCAUAUGAUUUUGGUUACAUGAUUUGCUCACCUUGCAUAUUGAGUAAUGUGGAAAGAAAAAAUAUUGACUUAGAUAAUCGUAGUGUCUUAUAUAUCUCGGCCGAUGUGGCAGCAUAUCAAGAUAUCGUAGAAAACACUAAUGUGGGCAAUUAAUGACUAUUUAAUUAAAUCGGUAUGAUAUCAACAUUUUUUGUUAGUGAUUUAAUAGAGGACUUAACCUAUAUUCGGAAAAUUGAGGUAAUUGACUGAAUGAAAUAAAAUUUUGGUAUGAUUAAAAAAAGGGUAAUAAUUUAUCCAAUAAUUUAUCUUUUUUUACAUGAUAUUCAUGUGAAAGAGAAUAUUAAGUGGUUUUGUCAAUUUCAAGCCAUUGCAAAAAGAUUUUAGUGGCUAUAUGUCAAGCCCAUUUGGAGACUAUAACGUUCUCAAUGUUGAUUUCCUUUAUAUUUUAUGCAAUCAUUCGAUCAUAAACCAUUCCUGCCCCUUUUUCUUGGCCAAUUCCACUGCUUUCCCUUUCAUCUAUUCACCCAAAACUAAAAAAGUAUGUGUAGUUUGGCCUAAAUCAGUUUGAACCGGUUUGAAAAUGUACCAAUUUUCAAAAUUGGAUCUGCCUAGUUUUAGAAUCCCAUGGGUAUAGAAUUGGGCUUUUGGCUACUGUUGCACAUGGGGGGACUCAAGCACUCAAUUCCACAGAUCACCGGCAUUUUACUUUACCACUAAGGCCGAACGAUUCAUGUGUUCAUGGGCAAUUGACAUCAUUGCAUAUCUAUAAUCGUUUGCUCUAGACACAAUCACUGAUUCACUCCUAGUCCAAUCGUUAGGACCACAAACUGGCAACCUAACUGGUUCUCCGACUGGCCUAAGUUUGAAAACAUUGGUGCCAAGUUCCUAUCCCUUCUUAAAACAAGUAGAUAAUGACCAUCUUAUAUGAAUUGAGUUGUAAUUGACGCAAUACUUUUGCCACGUAAUGAAAGAUGAUAGCUAAGUGAUUAUAACUAAUAAACGUUGAUGCUCCUCUUUCUCCUUGGUUAUAUUAGACCUAGAAAUUCUUCGUACUGCUCCAAAUGAGGUUGAUGCUCAACUCCCAUGGUACAUUACUCCUGUCAUUGCUCUAGUUGGAGCUAUGAUUGAUGCUUGACAUUUCCCUUAAAAAUUUCGUAUUCAACAGUAAGUCUUUGCUUUGGCAUCGCACAUACUUCAAUUUGAGAUGCUAAUAAAUAUUAGUCAAGAGGGAAAAAAAGUUAACAUCUACCACUCUUAGGAACCUUAUAUGCUAUUAGGAACUUUGUCCAGCAUGGCAUGCUAUCGAGAGGUCGUAGGACUUUGUCAGGCUUAAGAAGAGAUCUAAUCUCCCCAAUCAAAAGAAAUGAAAUCUAUCAACCAUUGGAUUUUGUUAUAAAGCAAAAAUCUAGAAAAUGAUGCAGUGCAAUAUAUUUAGCUACACAAUAGUAGUUUGAUUUGUCACAUGUAGUUUUUGGAUAUCAUGGUUUUUACAAGCAUGAGAAGUAAACUAGUCACAACAUUCGGAAGCAAAUUACUCAAUAUCAUCUCCAGUGAGUUUGCUAAGAAUUUUCUUUUGAUAAGCAAAAGAAAUUUACUGCACAAUGGCGUCAAGUAGAUGCUAGCCCAUGUAACAAAUGAUAAACAUGGUGCCAUGAGGUAUAAGAAAGAAUGCACAUUAGUAACGUCGUUGUCACACAACCAAAAGCCGUGGAAAGCCAUCUAUCAUUCAAAUAAAAUAAAAUAAAAACCAGUCUUGCUAUUUUCAAAAGCGCUUGUAUUUUUUUAUUUUUUUUGGUAAAGGUAAUGAUAUAUUGAGCCAAGAACCAAUAAUUACAGAAGAUUAGGCACCACAAAACUUUCACUCAAAGAGACACAGCGUCAAAUGGAGUGAAAGGGCGCCUAAUGCAAAAGACCACCGCAAAGCCGUCAUAGCAAGCAGGCAAACACAGACGGCCGAAAAGAAAGACAAAACAGCCACGCAGGGCUGGGGAAACAAAGAGAACAACACCAACCAAGGAACAACAACAAGGAGGACCCGAAGAUUCGAGGCAGCCGCGGAAGGCGCAGAAAACGGGGAGGAAGCCGCAAGACACUAGGCGGUUGGCGAAUGAGAUACUAGGCAGUCAACGUAGGAGAAGAGAAAAUAGAAGGGUCGAGCCCCCAAUUCCGAUGAAGCCUUCUAUUUGUCUUUGACCACUUUAAUGAGAUGCUUCUUGAUAGCCACAAGCACCACUGGAUGACCUCUGAAGAGAAUGUCGUUCCUAUACCUCCAAAUAAGGUGGCAGAGGGUAGCAAAAGAGAAGCGCCCUAUAGCAUGAUAGAAGUCCUUACCUGAUAGGAAAUUCAUCGCCCACUGAAGAUUUUCCACCCACGACCCGUUUCUCCACGGGAGAUUGCACUUGGCCACCCAAAAUAAGCCAUACGCGAAGUAAUACCGCAUCCGAAGAAGAGAUGGUCAAUAGAAUCCGGCGUGUGCUUGCAAAAGGCACAAACUUCCCUCCCGAUCCUCCCAUAGGACAUAAGAAAAGCUUGUGUAGGAAGGCGGUUCUUAACGAUUAGCCAUAAAUUGAAUUGGUACCUCGGAGUGAUAGCUUUACUCCAUAUAAAGGAUGACCAGUCCACUCUCGCUUUCCUCUUUCUGAAAAAAUGCCAUGCAGAAGCCACUGAGAAGAGACCAGACGAAUCGACACUCCACACAAAUCUAUCCGGAACCUCAGGGAGAAGAAUAGGGAGCUGGCCCCACGAGUCCAUCGCCAUCCUAAAGGCUCGACUAGGGUCUGAUAAAAGGUCCGCAACGGCUGCACACCUAUGAAGUCCCGACUCUAAGAUAGUUUGCUCCGAGCAAAUCAGAUCCAACGGCCCCCUCUGGUGCCAAUGAUCAUACCAGAGAGAGACCGUUCGCCCAUCACCAAUCCUCCAGCGGAAAUUGAGUCAGACCUUGGGUCUUAGGUGUAGGAUCCUCCUCCAAGCCCAAGAGCAGCGAGCCGGAGCCUUAACCAUCCAGAAGUUCUUCCCUCUUAGAAAAGUAGAGUGAAUCCACUUGCACCACAAGGACUCUUUGUCAGUGAAGAGGGUCCAAAUAUGUUUGAGCAUAGCCGCUUUGUUGUACUCUCGUAGUCUACGAAUCCCAAGACCACCUUCCUCUCUAGGGAGACAUACAUCCUCCCAGGAUACCUUGGCACCUCCCUUACCAAGGUUAGGCCCCUUCCGCAGGAACCAUCUGAGAAUUUGCUCUAUACGAUCUAAGACUGCGAUAGGAAUAAUAAAUACACUUGCCCAAUAGGCCUAAAUCGCAUGGAGCACUGACUUAAUAAGUUGAACUCUUCCGGCAAAUGAGAGAAAUCGAUGAGUCCAAGAUUGCACCAUUGCCGUAAUGCGAUUGACCAAGACAACGCAAUCCGCCUUGUCGAAACUCGAGGAGAUGAUAGGGGCUCCUAGAUAGCGUACCGGUAGCUUUCCUUCAACAAAUCCAAGGGUCUCCUUGAUCUGAGUUCUCAAUUCAUCCGAGCCACCCACGAGGAACACCUCACUUUUGCUGUUGUUCGGUAUCAAACCACUCCAAGUCGAGAAAGUAUCAAGCCCAUCUUUAAGAAGCCUGACGGCCAUAUCUGCUCGGCAAAAAAGAAACACAUCGUCCGCAAAGAAUAAAUGAGAUAACCGAGUGGCCUUGCACCUCCAGGAGAAGUUGAAUCUAGGUAGGUCCGCAGGGGAAGUGAGGAUCCCCGAGAAGACUUCCAUCACCAAGGUAAAUAGAUAAUGGGACAUAUGGUCCCCCUGUCGAAGGCCACAGCUGCUAGGGAAGAAUCCAUGGAGCUCUCCAUUCAAUGAAAUAGAAAACAUAGGCAUGCGCACACAUACCAUGAUAAGCCGAAUGAAGUGGUCCGGGAAGUGAAAAGCCCGGAGAACCAUCUCAAGGAAGUCUCAACCUACCGUGUCAUACGCUUUCUAAAAGUCCACCUUGACAGCACAUUUGGGGGAAUAUGGCUGAAGAUGAAACCGUGCGAACAACUCCUGGGCUAGAAGAAUAUUGUCCCUGAUCCGGCGACCCUUAACGAAGGCGUUUUGAGAAGGGCUAAUGGUAUCCUAAAGAACAGCCGUGGCACAAUUGGCUAAGACCUUGGUAAAACAUUUGUAGAUCGUGUUGCAACAAGCAAUAUGUCUAUAAUCAUUUACUGAGGUCGCAUUAGGCACCUUGGGAAUCAACACCAGGAUGGUGGCAUUAAUCUCUCUCAAAAGUCUCCCCGUGACAAAGAAGUCAUUCGCUGCAUCCAUGACCAACGAUCCAACAAGGUCCCAGUUACUCUUGAAGAACUCAACGCCAUACCCAUCUGGCCCCGGAGCCUUUCCUCUGGCUAGAGAGAACAAGGUAUUCUGAAUCUCCAUCUCUGAGAAUGGACGGGCGAGUGAGGCAACCUGAGCCUCAGAGAGCGGACACCGGAUAGCUUGCUGUAAGUCGUCCAAGGCUGGCCUAUGAGGGAGAGAUCGCGAGGCAAACAACUCUUUGAAGUGAGAAACGAAUGUCUCCUGAAUAAGGUUCGGCUCGCUGACAAGAUUCCCAUUUCUAUCCAGGACUGAGAUGAUUCUAUUCUUCAGCUGCCUCGUAGUCACUGAAUGAUGAAAGUACUUGGUGUUCUUGUCACCAUUCUCUGCCAGGAGGAUGCUUGUUGGAUCCAGCUGUAGGUCCUCUUGUGCUAACCUUAGAGCAUUCCUGGAUUGGGCAACCCUCUCAGACAAGUUAGAUAAUGAGUCUCUAUUCAGCUACUUGAGCCGUCUCUUCAAGGCUUUUAAUUUGGUAACCAAUUUGAAAAUGGGAACACCUUCCCCCGGAGCCUCCCACACCUGGGUAACAAUGUUAUGAAAUGAAUAGUGCUCCAUCUAGAAAUUAAAGAACUUGAAAGGCUUCCUUCACAAAACCGGUUGAAUCACCUUGGCCAACAUCGGAGAGUGGUCAGAAAUACCAGGUGUCAGAAACAACGCUUCAGAGUAAGAGAAAUGCAAACUCCAAAGAGCGUUAACCAGCACCUGGUCAAUCUUUCUCGCUUUCCGGUUGGCCCCUGAAGACGUCGACCAGGUAAAUCGAAGGCCCACAUAUCUCAAAUCCUCAAGCUCUGAUUGAUGCAAGCAAUGAUUAAAUUCCCCAAAGGAGGGAAGCUAGGCAUUAGUACCACCAAAUUUGUCAGAGGGGUCUCUAAUAGCAUUGAAGUCACCAGCAACCAUCCAUGGAAGGUCGUAGAUGCAAGAGCUCAUCUUGAUCAAGUCCACCCAUAAGGGCCUUCUAGAAACAAAAGAGUGCUAUGCGUAGACAAUUGAGGUGCAGCAACAAAGACCCAACGACAGAAGCCUAACUCUGCCAUGGAUGACUUGAUCAUUAGAAGCUAUCACCUCAAAAUUAACCAAUGAAGGGUCCCAACCGACCCAAAUUCUGUCCCUCGGAGACGAACUAUAGUUGGCAAUCCAAGUCCACCCCGAAAGCAGACCAGACGAUAAAGAGCAAAAUAGAUAAUACGGGACUUUAGUCUCUAGAAGCCUGACUAAACAAAGACCAUUCGAAAGAACCAAUUUACGAAUCUCGACUCUCCUCAAAGGAUCCAUAAGACCACGAAUAUUCCAAAAGCUAAAAUACAUAACGAAACUAAGAACAAACUACGCUAAAUAAGAAAGACUAGAGCAAGGCUACUUGGCUUUUGAAGCUUCGGCGGAGGGGGUCCCAGCGCACCACCAAUGGAUUCAUCCGAUACCGGAUCCGGGGCAAGUGCAAGAAGCCGAUCUUGGAUGGUCUCCACCAUUGUCGCGGCAUGAGGCUGCUGAUGAAAAGGUGAACCAGGGGAUGUUAUAUCCUCCUCAUCCGACGAUGCAAAAGAAGCCGCGACUUCCGACUCCAAUCCAUGAUCCACGGUGGAGGAGAGAACUGGGAGCUGUGGUGGGUCUGCCAUGAGAGAAAGAACCACCUUGGGAGAGGCACUGGCUCCCCUUACCGUCUUUCGAAUAGGAGCGGGCGGAGAAGGACCCGCUGUGGGUGGAGGUGGAUCAACAGCCGGGGCUUUGUCCCGAGAGGGUUGUCCAGGCCCUGCAGUAGCGGAGGAACUGGGUGACUCCCACACGAAGGGGGCUUGAUUUUUCUUCUUCUUGCCCUUUACCUUCCUCCAAGGCUAUUCCUGGGCGGGUUGAGGAGGAGCACCCACCAUUGGAAGAUCCUCAGCCUCCGGGGGAACGGACAACGAUGGGAUCGGAGUGGACUAGACCUGAGCAGGGCCAAUUGCGGACUGAGGAGGGACAGAUUCGACCACGGCAUUUCUUUCUUCACAACGAAACAAUAAGCUAUUGAAGUGAACAACCACGAACACAGCCCGACAUAAACAAGGAGUAAUAAAAACUACUUACUGUUUGAUGUUAGGUUCUAAAGUCCAACAAAAGGAAGUUCUCUAGUAGAACCCAAAAACAGGAGUGUGCCAUAGAUUCACAGAGAAUUUAAACAGAAAUUACAAGACCUAUGAAACAGGCAAUGGGAUAGAAAGCAAAUGAAGGUUUGUUGCAGAAGGCAGGCAUAGACAUUGUGGACCUGAAUAUCCAUGCACAGUGAUGAACAAGGCAUUACUGCAGGGUGAGCUCGGCAUCUAAUUUGUAACAACAAGAGAGAGAAUGUCAAUCAUCAUAGCAGCUGAGGCUGUGUUCUCCAUGAUAGCUACUACCCAAUCAUCUCUUUGACCCAACAAUUGAGAUUCAGAUGCAGGGUGGCAAGUUGAUGCAAGCCUAGGGGAGGCUUUCUCAAACAAUAGGAUCGGGAGAGUGACUCGCACACAGAAACAGGACAAACAGGAAUUUCAGCACUGCGCGAGCUCAGGAGAACAGCUGUAUCUCUGUCGAUACAGAUCGGAUCGACCUGAUUCCAAAGCAAAAUGAACAAAGACUUCUGGAUCUACAAUUUCUCUGUUUUGGGUUUUCUGAAAUAAGCACUGUAGGAUAGUCGAAAUUGGGUAGGAAGUAACAAACAGAACAGGAAAAGACAGAGACUCCGUUGGUUGCUCUUCUAGGCCUCCAAGGAAGUUGAAAGGGACACCGAUUCUUCUAGAUCGAUGACUGCAACUCUUCAAGGAUGCAGAUUUUGAAAGCUCCGACUCUUCAAGGACGGAGUGAAAACUCUUCUAGGUUUUCAAGAGUUGAACUCUACAAGGUUCACGAUACUUGCUUCAAGCAAAGCUUUUCAUUCAUAAAAAAUUGUCUGUCUUCUACAAGGGAUUGGCUUAUAUCAUCAAAGAAAUAAAAAUAGAACGUUGAAAAUAGGAGAAAUAAAGACAAAGCGUAGAAAACUAGGAGAAAUAAAAACGGAGCAUUGAAAAUAGGAGAAAUAGUAAAGGGCAUGGAAACUAUAAACUAGUAAAAGCGUCACGCGAGCUUCCAAUGUGUCUUUGACUCAAGAUGUCAUUAUGGCUUCUCGGUUUCGUCGAGCUUUAAUGCGGGCCGAUCUUCUUGGUCGAGAGAGCCGGUCUUCAAUGUGGGCUGCAUCACAAGUUCAUCUUCAGAAUAGCAGAUUAGGACAGCCGCUCUCAUUAAGUCAGACCAAUAACUGAGAAUGAACCAGUCAUUGUAAAUAGACUGCUUCUGAUGACCUUGCUAGCAUCAAGGUGAGCUAAGAGUUGCCAAAAGCAUUAUUUGCACAUUCUUUCGGAAUCAUUGAUUUCUCAGAGUUCCAGUGGCAAUUUUAGGACUAACAAGGAAUGAGAUGGAUCGGUCCACUAUUAAUUAACUUGGUUUAUAGAUGUAAGUAGAGUAAGUUUAAAGUCAUCUGUACAAUAACUGGAAUCAGUGAACUCGUGAAGAAGAAGACUGGAAAGCAAGUUAUCUUGACAACUCGAAUAAGAACAUAUGACCUUAAAGUGAAUCCUGAGGCUAGUAUUUAUAGUCAAUAUCAUGUAUAUCGAUUAAGGAGCUAUCUCCAAGUACAAUAUCCUUCAAUACACGGAUGGCUUUUAUUUGGUUAAGUUGCAUAGCAAGGCCUCCAUCAUAAGAGGUACCCUUUAGAAAAUCAUUAUCUUCCAUAUCCGAUGAGUCCAUAAAAGUUUCCAUCUUUUUCUUCCUCCCGUAUAACCAAUAAGGCUUAGGACUUUUUCCUUCCAAAUAACGAGCAGACAUUUCUGAAUCAGCUCCGCACCUUCAUAAACUCCUCUGAAGAACACACUAAACCUCUUUCCCCUCUCAGAAACAUAGAAAACGCCAUAAUGCUUCAACAGGAGUCUCAUCAACUUCCGAGGCAUCACAAAUUCUUGUCGAAAGUGCGCGGGGUGAUUGGUUACCAACCUCUUUUCCAUUGUGAAGCUAAGUAACUCAUGCAUUGCUGCAAUGGAUCUCUUAUUGAAUUCUUUCAAUCCAGCUUGAAGGCCACAUGCAUUAGCGUAAGGAGUCAAGUAAGACCUUUUCUGAAAGUGCUCAAUCUUCCCUCCGUAGCUACACACCUUCUUGUAACUGGCAGGAAACUUGAAGGGGGAAAGAUAGGGAAAGCAACCCUGGAGUAUGAAAAGGCAAAUUCUGAUACCCCCAAUAUGGGCUUCUCCAACUCUGUGAUAGCCCAAGUAGGAUUCCACCCUAUGAGCUCGAGGUAAUCAACUUCAUCUGGAGAUUUAACCACUUUGAAGUGCUGCGGAUACUCGUGUACCCACUUGCUCCUAAAAUUAGCUGGCAAACCAGACUCUCUCCUGUAAUGAGCAAUUUUGUCCGGAGGAAGCCAUUUGUCGACCGACAUCAUCAACAUCCUAGUCACGUAUUCAACAGCCGUGCCAGAAUGUCCCCUAAUCAAUCUCUCCUCUUCCUCUAACAAGUCUUCAGCUUCUUUAGUUAUUUCCAAACCACAAUACCCCCUUCUGAUCUUUACACAACUCAAAACAAUUUUGGUGACUUUCGAAUAAAAUCCACUAUACUGUUUGCUUGGCUAUAGAUCCAGCGAUCUCACAGGGAUUAUCAUCUCGGGUUCCUUUUUCAACAUUUCCAUCAAAACCAACACCUUUGACACCACUUUUGCUUCUCAGUGGCAAUUUCGAGAUCAUGGACCCUCUUGUCCUUGUUCCUAUCUUGCACUCUCUUGCUGGUGUUCAUGAAUCUACGCUAUGACCAGUUAAGUAAAAUCUCGCCAAAACUCAAGUAUCCUCUCAGGGUAGGCGAAUGCACUGGUGAGGUGACAAAGCAACCAAACUCUCUUGCCGCGCUUCAUUCAUUCAUUCGAGAAAGCCACUGUUUUACCAAUGAUUUGAAAACGGGUCAUCUCAAGAUGGUAAUGCCUCGCUCCAAAUUCAAGAAACAAGCCCAACAAAAGCAAAUGCCUCUUGCUCAGGGCAAACAUCAAACGGCUUACGUGCAAUGGAACGAGGAACAACAAGAGCCCAAGACAAAAACAUUCGAGAAGAUCGCCGUAAAAGAAAACACAUGCUCCUGUCAUUGCCUUUUACUGAAUCAUUGAGUUACAAAUUUUAGGAAGUGUGCCCAAACUAGUCACGAGCAAGUUCUUAGCAAGUCAUUCCGGAUAACUCAAUUAUUCAUUGAUAUUUUCUUAAUUCCGUGAGCAAUAAGCGUGCAGUUUGAACAUAAUGCAACUAAACCAAGUAUUUACCACAAUAUGGAUUGAUUCUUUUCCUUUUUUAAGAAGAACUUAAUUCAGUUCAAUUUAAGAAAAUUAUAAGCUGAACAGGAUUAAGAUAAAUAUACAACCAAGCUAAAUAAAAAACUGAGUUAUUUAAUGUGAAAUAAAAAAAAAAAAACCAAACCAAUAUUUUCCUGUCCCUCUGUAGGAGUGUAUUUGAUAAAUUCUUAAAACAGAUCCAUUAAACCUCAGUCAAACCUCAGACUAACGAAACUCAGUCAAACCUCUUUUUCUUAAAAGAGAAAAAAGAAAAAAGAAAAAUAAGCCGAGAGCCAUUCACCCCCUGCGCAGAGUGAAAUUCCAUGGUCGUCGAAGAUGCUUUUGUCUCUCAGGUGAGUUUCACGAAGCUCCGCUUGAUUUCACCUCAUGUCCUUUUCUGCAGCGCGAUCGCCGGCGAUGAUGAUUCUGAGUUUCGUCUCGUGUUCAGAGCCGAAGAGCAGAAGAUCGUGGAACGAGAGGACGUAGACGACGGAGCAGAAGACCUGCUCGAAACGAUCGACAAACAAACGUGAGUUACGGCAAAACAGAGUGUAGGCAACUCCUCUCUGUUCAUAAUGCGUUUUCGUAAUGCGUUUCGGUACAUCCUUUGAUUCUGAGAUGAUUAUCGUGAUUUUCUGAUCCGUGCCCCGAAAGUUAAAAUUGAGAUGCAAAUGGUUCGAUGAAGCUAUGGCUGUGAUUAUCGUGAUUUACAUCUCGAGCUUUCUCUCAAACUUGCUGUGAUUUACAUAGAGUUUAACACGAUGGUUAAGCUCGAGUCUUUGUUGAAGGACGAUUCUGAUUCACUCAAAUCCAGCAAAGUGAAGAAUAAUGUGGAGAGAAUCGACUACUGGAAGCCAAGCCCUCGAUAAGCUUUUAGGCGGGAACAGACUUUCUUUUGCAGACUGUGUGUCUUUUUCUCCAUGCAUUUCAACGAAAACAAAUUUCACCGGUUUGGCAAUGUUUACAGGUGGUAUUGAAACUCGGGCAAUUACGGAAGCAUUUGGCGAACCUGGGUGAAAAUCACAGUCCAACAACGUUACCUUUGAUGAACUUUUAGUUGCUUUUGUUAAUUAGCUUUCUCAGAAAAAUGCUGCUGACGUCACUUCAGGUCUGGGAAAACACAGCUUGCAUGUACCCCAUGCGUUACUUCUCGGGUUGGUCUGAAUUAGAUAUUAGGUUUCUGUCUUGAACUUCUGUUGCAUUUUUUUUUUUUUUCUGAUGAAAAAUGCCAAAUAGUAACAUAAUGAUUGAAUUUCUAUGGAGUAUAAAGAUGUGUGUAUUAGGUGAUUCUGGAAGUACGGCACUCUCAUUUUCUGUAAUCUGCAGUCAGUAUACUGGAACGCAUGUACAGUGGCUCAAACCAAGCAGGAAAAAGGCCAGAAGAGUUUGUACUAUGUCACAACCGAGUAAAACCCUUAAUCAUAGUCAGACUCGGACUUGGGUUGAUCAUUAGUCGAAUGUGAUGCUUGAAGAUACUCUACUUUAUUUCCAAAUCCUACAACAGUAUUUACCCCUAUUUUCAAUCAUUCUUUAUUAAUGGUUUGUGGAUUCCAUGGCCGUAAAAUAUUUUCAGCUGCCAACUCACAUGAGAGGAGGAAAUGGCAAGGUAGCUUAUAUCGACGCAGUAGGAACUUUGUAUCCUAUUAUGAUCUGUCUGUAUUUUUCAUGACCUUGACAAAGAUACUUGUGUUUCUGAAUCAUCAUCUGUCCAUGUAAGCGCAUGUGCACUUUCUUAACUUAGUACACCUGCAGUCUUAGAUAAUGUAAGCAAUGCACUUUCAAUUUUAAUCAAAUUCUAGACAUUAAACAUGCUCCAUGUCCGUCACUCUUUACUAAAUCACCUAGUUACAAAUUUUAGGAUGUAUGCCGAUCUAGGUUCAACACAACCAAAUCGGUCAUGAGUAAGUGCUUGGCAUGUCAUUGUGAAUAAACUUAAUUGUUGAUUGAUAUUUUCAUGAUUUUAUGAGCAAUAAGUGCGGAGUUUGAGAACAAUGCAAUUAAACCAAGAAUUGACCACAAUGCAGAUCGAUUAUUUUCCUUUUCUAAGAAGAAAUUUAUGUGGUCCAAUUUGAGAAAAUUAUAAACCAAGCGAGACGAAGGUGAGUGCAAAAUUAAGCCAAAUCGAAUUAAAUUAUUCAGUCCGAAAUUACAAAAAAAAAAGUCAUACCCAAUUUUCUCUCAUCCUCUUUAAGAGUGGAUUUAAAAAGAUUUUAAGAAUUUAUCAGAUCCAUUAAAGCUCAAUUUAUAAUAACAAAACUCCAUCAAACCUCUUUUUCUAUAAAAAAAAAAGAAAAAGAAAAAUAAGCCAAUAGCUAUUCUUCCCACUUCCCGCCUCUAUAUCUAUAUGGAUUCCCUCCGAUUUGCGAUCGUUUCCAAAAUCCACAAAAAAUUUGAAAGUCUCUUCUCCUGCGCAGACGCACCGAACUCCAUGGCCGUUUGAUUCUGAAGUUGAUCAUCGUGAUUUUCUGGUCUCUGUUCUCAAGUUGACUGUAUAUCUCUUUGAAUGUCGAUGUUAAGUGACUCUGAAUACUGCUAAGUGCAUGAGCUUGAUUUCGGUUUCGGUUGCUCAGUUUAGCUCGAUUUUCCUGGAACAUCACCGUGAAUCCAUUGGCAUUUUUACAUCUCGGCCUUUCUCUCGAACUUGUCGCGAUUUUCUGCACGCGCACGAUAGUUUUUAGUUUUUGUCUUCUGAUCAUCCAAGAGCAAUUCAGCCUUCGUUAUGUUACGUGACAUCCACCGGAUGUCUUUUUUCCCGUGUGUUCGUGACGUAGCUGGAUUAAUAACGAAUAUCCUAAGCUUAAUUCAUCAAUAAUAUCUGUUGGAACGCUAGAUUGUCAGUGAUGAUCUAGGAAAUGCUUUUGUCCUGACAUUCUACAUUCACCAGAAAACUUAGUUUAACGCGAUGGUUAAGCUUGAGUCUUCAUUGGAGGACAAUUCUGGUUCGCUGAAAUCCAGCAAAGUGAAGAAUAAUGUGAAGAGAAAAUCAAAGACUAAGAUCGAACAGUAUCUCGAGCGUGUAAUGCGGAAAGCUGAUAUAUCUGCCGAGGAGGAUCUGGAAUUGGAAAGGAAGCUUGCCAAGAAGCUCUAGGUAAAGGAUGGAAAGCUACUUGGGUCAGACGAUGGAAUGAGUAUGUUAUUUAAAGGAAUUCCUUCUAUUCUUGAUUCUUUUGAACAAGACGCACCAGGGGUAAGAGAAAAUUGUAGUGAAAGAUUUGAAGGUAAAUCUUCAGGAGAAAAAAAAGAAAUGUCCAAGCAAGAGCAUAUGCAGGAUGAUGGAAAAGCUGUUCAUGUUAAGGCUGGAGCCUGUGACUCAGUAGACUAGAAACCCCUUCAUUUCAGCUCUCAAGUGAGUUCGUGAGCUCCACAAAUUUCAAUUCAUUUCCUUUUCGUGAUGCGAUUGCCAAGAAUGAUUCUGAGUUUCCAUUCGACUUCCUCUUGAACUUGUUGUGAUUUUCUGUGCAUACGAUAGUUUAAUUUUCUUUCCUUAAAUGACGAGAAGUAAUUUCCACCACUACUUGAAUAUGAUAUGUCUAAUUCACCUCUUCGACGUAUGUCUUCUAAAUUAUACAAGAGCAAUUUGGCCUUUGUUAUGUUACGUCACAUAGUAAUUGUACCAUCGGUACAUCUAUUAUCCAUGUAUUUACAGCAUAGAUGGAUUAAUAACGAAUUUCCUAAGCUAAAUUCGUCAACAAUCACUAUUGGAACACUUGACAUUCUACAUUCACCAGAAAAUAUAGAGUUGAACACGAUGGUGGGUUGGUUUUUUUUUGUUUGCAGGUAUUUCUCAGGGAAUCCAUGCUGGAGAUGUGAAAAAAGAUACAGGAUGCAGGGAUCGACACUUGCAAAUGUCUUGAUGAUGCAUACAGAGAAGGUAUAUCUGAUAUUCAGUUCCGAAAAUUAAGUGGAGGUAUUAUUUGGCUAAGGUGAUUUCCUCUGUCUUUGUUUUGUUUUUUUGUAGCACUUAACUAGAACCAAAGGUUUCUCUGAAGCAAAAGUUGAUAAGAUAUGCGUAUCAGCUGAAAAGAUAGUGGUUAGAGCUUAAUUUCUUCUUAUCCUGAGAUGGCGAUGUAAUCAAUUGCAAUUUCUAUAUGCAUCUCACAAUAACUUCUCUUUGUUUUCAUUAGAAUUCUCGUUUUAUUACGGGAAUUGAAGCUAUGCUCAGAGUAAGUCCUUAAUUCGGCAAAUUUCGAGCUAAAAAUGGUUCGGAAGACCUGAAUGAGUCAUUGCCCCUUGAAAUAAAGCCUGCAAAUUAGCAUAUCGACUGUAGAAAACUGUACUUGCUCUAAACACAAAGUACUUUCAAUGUCUUUAUUUUUUCCAGAGCAAGUCAGUUAUUUGCAUCACAACUGGAAGCCAACCCCUCAAUGAGCUUUUAGGCGGUAAUAGACUUUCUUUUGUAGAUUGUGUAUAUUAUUCUUCAUGCGUUUCACCGAAAACAGCUUUCCCUGGAUCUGCAAUGUUAAACAGGUGGUACUGAAACUCAGGCAAUUACAGAAGCAUUUGGUGUAUCUCAGUGACAAGCACAGUCCAAUAACGUUACCCUUGAUGAACUUUUAGUUGCUUUUGUUAGUUGGCUUUCUCAGAAAAUGCUGCUAACGUCACUUCAGGUCUGGGAAAACACAGCUUGCACAUACCCUGUUUGUGACUACUCAGGUUGGUCAGAAUUGCAUGUUAGGUUUUCGUCGUUAACUUCUAUUUCAUGUUAUGUUUCCUAGAUGAACAACAUAAAUAGCAAGAUAAUGAUUGAAUUUCUAGUAAAGAAUAAAGCUGUGGUUAAUAUUGGCAUCGGAACGUGUUUAUUAGGUGAUUCUGGAAGUUGGCACUCUCAUCUUCUGUAAAUGGCAAUCAGCAUACUGGAACACGCAAUCUAUAGUGGUUCAAACCAAGUAGGAAAAAGGCCAGGAGAGCGUACUAGGUCAUAACCAAUCGGAAGCCUUGGUCAUUGUCAGACUUGGACUUGGGUUGAUCAUCAGUUGAAUAGGAUGCUUGAAGUACUCUACUAUAUAUGCAAAUCCUACAACAUUAUUUUCUCUUCUUUCCAUCACUCUUUAUUAAAGCUGAUCCCGUUCCAUGAGAUGAUAUCUUAUGGUUUGUGGAUUCCACGAUCCUAACAAUUUUAACAGCUGCCAACACACGUGGGAGGGGCAAAUGGCAAGGUAGCAUACCUCGCCACAGAAAAAACUUUGUAUCCUAUUAUAAUCUGUCGGUCAUUUCCUUGACCUCAACAAAGCUGCUUUUGUUUCAUACUCGGCUUAUGUCCAUGUAAGUGCAUAUGCACUUUCUUAACUUGGUACACCUGCAGUUGCCAUGAUUGAAUUGUACAAAUAGCUGAAAGAUUUGGCAUGGAUCCUGGUGCCGUCGCACAUAAAUGCUUUCUACACUGGUGGCAAGUCUUCCUUCUUUUCUGGCUAAUGUACUUGCUGUAAUCUAGUCUUUCCAUGAAUUUGAAGAUCAUUUAUGCCUGUGCCUCUACUUCUGAGCAUCAGUACAACUUCCUUCUCAGUUUGGCUGCCAAAGUGUCUGAAGAACCAUUUAGGUUCCUGGUAAGACAGUGUUCAAGAAUCAAACUGCACACAUUUUGUAAGGUGUCGAUGGUUGACCUUAGCUGAGUAUAUCCUUCAGAUUGUGGAUUCAGUGAUCACUCUCUUUCGAGUGGAAUAUAAUGGAAGGGGAGAACUUGCAGGGCAUCAGGUCGAUUCUGAAACCAUGAAAUCAUGCGAGUUGCAAAUUUUCAGCUCAUCUAGUUUGACACUAAUAGAUUUCCAAUUGCAGCAAACAUUGGCACAAAUGCUCUCACGCUUACUUAAGAUAGCCGAGGAAUUUAAUGUGGCAGUGUACAUGACCAAUCAAGGUACCGCAUCACAUCUCAUUUCUCCCACCUAGUCAUGGAUCCUUUAAAGGAUCUUAUCCAAUUUAGCUCUUUGAUGGUUGCACACUGAAAAAUAGCAAUUUGGUGACUACACUAAGCUCAUACUAGUUCUCAUAAAUCUCAAGAACCAGUUAUUUGGUGUAAACUAGUGAUGCAUAUGGUAGCUGCAGUCCAUGAGUUAAGCAAAAAAGAUAAUUUUUUUGACGACUUUUUCUUCGAUUUCUUUGUUUCAGUGGCAUCAAAGAAGCAUGCAGGUGGGCAUGUUCUGGGUCAUGCAACCACAAUUAGGUUGAUGUUUACAAAUGGCAAAGGUGAGCAGUGGGUUUGCAAGGUGUUCAAAGCCCCAGACCUACCUAAAGCUGAAGCUAUAUCCUUUUUGUCUGGAUCUUUGUCUACCUAUACACUUUAUUGAAAUUUACCAGAUUACACUGCAGACAUUAAACGAAAUUUCUAGAAAUCUAAUAUCAAUCGGAGAGAAAGUCAAUACUAAGUCUAUAUAUGGAUAGGUGGAGACUAGAAUUUGAGCAGUAUACUUGUAGUAUACUUACAUGCGCUGCCUGUGCUAUGGAAAUAAAAUACCCAACCAUUGAUGAUGCCAUACUGCAGAUCUUCCUCUAGUUAUAUACUUCGUUGAAAUUUUUCAGACCAUGCUGCAGAGACCAAGUAAAAUAUCUGGAAGUCUAGAUCAAAAUCUGUGAGAAAGUCGAUAAUUAGUCUAAAUAGGGAUAGGUGGAUACCUGAUUUAAGCAUGAUACUCACUUUAUACUUGAUGUUGCCUGGAGAUCCAUGAACAUGUUGAAUACGAAUUUUGUCCAGAGGAAUUAAACAAAAAGAAGUAGCUAUUGAGAAUUUUCCUCAGUAGGACCAGUAUGUUAUUUUUAGCUGUGCUGUUAUGUAGAUGAUGCACAUCUAUCAAGACCAUCACUUAAUUUAAUCAAAAAAUUUAGGAAGAGCUCAUCUGUCAAUAAGAUGAGACAGAUAUUCCAUAUAUGUUGAACUUGACAGACACAUGUUUUUCAGAUAACACCAGGAGGCAUCACCGAUGCGAAGGACUGAAGGAGUCUCUCCAACCAGGAAGGCAGGCGAAGUGCUUUUUUAUUUUUAUUUUUAUGUUAAUCUGCAAUUUGAUGUUAGUCAUCGUAUUGACCGCAAGAGGCAUAUAAUGAUCUCCCAAGCACUUGUUCAUUUCCUUUCUCUGCAAUGGACACUUUGUCACCCUUGUCAUAGCUUGUCCCUAAGUUUCAUGUGCUCGACAACAAACCAUUCAUGAAUGACAUGAGUUACUUUCUCUAACUGUGAUGGUGACCCAAAAGAUUUGUCAACUACAAUGUCACCUUUGUGUAUCAAAUGCAAAAUAUAUCAUAAGGGUAAGGCCGAAGUAUCCUUUCUGCUUCUUCUAUUUAUGUUUAGCCAAUUGAAUGCAAAUAAUACAGCCUUAUAUUCUCUUAGGAACUUAAACGAGCGUGGCAUGUCUUAUAUUCUCUUAGGAACUUAAUAGAGAUGUAACCAAAAGAAAAUUAUUCAGUGUCAUUUCGAAUUACCUCAAAUGAAAUGAAAUUUAUCAAUCACCGUGUUUCGUCAUUAAGAAAAAUAAAUAAAGUUAUCCACUGCAAUAUGUUUUUAAUUACACAUAAGGUCAACAGUUUGUGGAUAUCAUGGUUUUUAUGAGCUUGAGAAGAAAUCUAGUCACAAUAUUUGAAAACUAAUUACCCAACAUCAUCUCCACUGAGUUCACAAUAAUUUUCUUUUGAUAAUUAAAAGAACUUAGUUGAACUUUCUUACACGAGCAAUCUGGCUUUUGUUUAUGUUACACGACAUUCAAAUCGCACCAUUGCAGUAGCUGCAGUCCUUGAGUUAAGGAAAAAGAUGAUUUUUGAUGACUUUGUCUUUGAUUUAUUUGUUUCAGUCGUAGAUGAUCUAGGCGGUGCUGUGUUCAUAUCAGACCCAAAGAAACCUGCGGGUGGGGAUGUUCUGGCUCAUUUAGCCACAAUUAGGUUGAUAUUUAGGAAAGGCAAAGGUGAGCAGCGCGUCUGCAAGUUGUUUAAGGCCCCAAACCUACCGAGCUGAAGCCAAGUAUACUGAGUCUACAUAUAGAUAGGUGGAGACCUGAUUUAAGCACGGUGCUCACAGUAUACUUGAUGGUGUAUGGAGAUCCAUGAACAUGUUGAAUACAAAUUUUGUGCAGAGUAAUUAAACAAAAAGAAGUGGAUAUCCAGAAUUUUUUUAAGCAGGAUUAGUAAGUUAGUUGUGCAACCUGUGCUAUGUAGACUGCACAUCUAUCAAAACCAUCACUUAUGUAAGAAAUUUUAGCGAGAGCUCAUAUGGCAAUAGGGUGAAAUCGACAAACGCACAUUUUUCAGAUAACAACAGGGGCAUAGCCGAUGAGGACUGAAGAGGUCUCUCCUACCAAGAUGGCCAGGUGAGGUGUUUUUUAAUUUUAUUUUUUGGGUUAAUCUGCAAUUUGAUUUUAGUCAUCGGAUUGAUAGCUACCUCUAUCUUCAUGUUAAGUUUGUAUUGGCAGGCAUCAAGCUCCUUUUGACAGCUUUAAGUUUAAAAUUGCCGGAGAGGUUACCGCUUUAGCCUUAAUAUCUAACAUGCUGUCAUUGUCUGUUAUUAAAGUUCACAUGACCCUUCACAAGGUGUUGUGUAAACUUGAUUUCCAUAUGAGAACCAGCACGCUCCAAGUUAUAAUGGUUCACAUUUGUUCUCAUAUGACAAUAUCGUCCUGGUCUAAUUUACUAGUAGAGAUUCUAUGCGGAAAAUAUUACAUUGGAUAGACUUUGCAUGACGGCUAAAUGAAAUGCCAGAAAGAUAUUACUGCACAAAGCAUGAUCAGGUUCUGUAAAGGCUUGGUUUUAUAAGUACAUAUAUAGCUGCAUAAAAACGAUGUCAUCUCAAACUCUCAAUAUAGAGCAACGGACCAUUAGAGCUGAAAAAAUUGUCAAUGUAUGAGAAAGGGCGACUGGGUCAUAAGCAACAGAAGGCCAUUCAAUAGCUAAUGGCCUGGCCAAAAGGGACCGCAAUGCAUAUGACUCGGCAGUGCAAGGACAAGUUCGCAGCACUCCCAACUCUAGGCAUACUGGACUCCUUAGUCUCUGCACCACUUUUCAAAUGUAGCGCUUUGUACUCAGCCCAAGCUAUUCACCCUAGGAACUGGCUUCACCUCAUUCGGCGCAUGCUCGUAACUCCUCAAACAUUUAGAGCUGGUAAAGAAGCAUCCUGAGUUGGAAAAGAAGGCAACGUUAACAGGUGAACGAUUCGGCACUCAAAAAUCAUUCGAAGAGCAACAUUGUACGUGAAAAGGCACAUUUCAAUACAAGGAUACAGGUAAAGAACACCAUUUUAACCUUAGAUUAUAAAUUUAUGUUCGAAACCAAUUUUUCCAAAAUGCUGUUACCCAACAACAUAACAUUCUCCUCUGAACUCUGCUUAAUAUCAUCAGAGCUCAUCCAUCCUUACUUUUCAGAUUGCAAUGCAUGGACCAAAUUCCAGUGGAGCCGCAUCAACAAACUGAAAAAAUAAUUGCCGCUAGGAAAUGGUGCAAAAGACUUCCCAAAACCCAUCUUCAUGACUUCUGCAUCAUCUGAGCGAACAAGACUGCCUCCAGAAUCAAUUCCCCAGAAGGAAGGAAAACUGCCAUAACAUCCUGAAUGAUUCAGAGGACAGAAAGGAUUAGAUAUAGAUCACAGGUGGAGGGAGAGAUUGAGAGCGAUGUCCCAGAAUGAAACCAAUGAACAUUAUUGUUACUCACACAGGCCAGAAAAGGGGUUUUAGAAGAGCUGUCGAAGAGCACAAAACCAAACUUCCUGCUGAUCUCUCUCACGACUUGAUCAGCAGGGUAGGCCGCCGAUCCCUCAGAGUUCAAUAAGCUUCUACGACAAUAAUGACCUCAUUAGCGGUUUUAUUCCAUCCAUAUUACUGCAACAUUGCCUCUGUCCUUGGAACAAGCAACCGAAAACAAUCUGUCACAGAGGGUAAGGCAUGUCAAAUCUCGAUGUGGGACGAGCUGAUUGAGAAGAGAAGACAGUACGGCAAUUUCCCUCAAUUAACAAUCCAAUAAAUUUCAUUUUCUGGCUUUCAAAAUGAACCAGAGACUCAAGUUCCACUAUCUCCUUUAGGCUGACAAAUGGAACCUUUCAUGAUAUCACAGUAAAGUCCAACAAAAAUCAGUUUGAUCUAACCGUUGCCUCUCUAAACAAUGAAAUCACGAUUAUUUUUUCUUUUUUGGUGGUUAAAGCUACCUUUAUCAAGAGAUGGAGUGGGAAUUUGCAUAGAAGAACGAUAAACUUUAUUCUUUGACCAGGUAAUCAGUUUUUAAAUGGGUUUUGGCCAACAUAAUUCAUUCAAAAUUUAGCUGUUUCAUUCACAUAUUCAAACCUCUGUUUGAAAUUUAUCCUUCCAUCUAUACAAUAACUGUUAUGGGAAGAAAGAGAGCUUCUUAUUUUGAAUAUUGACCUGUCAAUGUUAAAAGGAUAUUAUCUAACCAAUUCACAUACAGAAAUUCACAUUGUAUUUUGUGGCUCCUACAAUAUAGUCACUAAAAGCAAUUCUGUACUUAGAGUCAAAAGUACAACUUUUAACCUAUUGGCAAGUGAUACUGCAUAUUCAAUGUUAAAAACUUAAGACUCGUCCUUCCAUGAGCCCCGAUCAAAAUGACAAACGAGGGCCGCUGUUACUGUGAGUACAUCAUGUAUAUCAGCAGCAAUCCUCUCUUCAUCCUUUUUGGCUUUCUCUAUGUAACAAAGCCUCAUUUUAUGUUUUAUAAGGUAAUGUGAUGUGAUCUCAUUGAACCACUCUUGGCUGAUGACAAGAACUAAACUCACCUGAUUCGACCAGGACUGAAGUAUCUUAUUAUGAUCCUGGAAAUUCCCACAGAAAGGCGCCACCUUGCCUUAAGAAACCACCCAAAGCUUGUCCAUGCUUCCAGAUAUUGGAUGCUCAUCGUGACUAACCUGCAAAUCAAGGUGAAAAGAUGGCUAUUAGCUGUAAAGACAAUCCAUCAUUGGUCAAAUUGAAGUAUUCUGGCAAAAAAAUCAAUCUCACCAUCAGACAUCUUCCUUGGAACAAGACCAGCCCUCGAAUGAGCACCUCAACCACAUCCAAAUCCUGCAGUUUGGGAUAGUAAAAAACACAGAAUCAUACUCAUCAAUCCUUAGACAAGAAACUAGCAAUUUACAAAGAUAGAACUUUAGUAGUCAUAGGUCAUUAAAGUAGAACUUAAAGUCGCUUGGUGCAAGUGGAUCCACUCCACGUUCCUAAAAAGGAAGAACUUCUGGGUGGUUAAGAAGCCGACCUGUUGCUCUUGGGCCUGAAAGAAAAUUUUACAACUCAGAGUAGAAGUCCGGCUCAGUUUCUGGUGGAGAAUUGGGGAUGGCCUUUCUAUGUCACUUUGGUUUGAUAACUGGCAUCCUGAGGGCCGCUGAANNNNNNNNNNNNNNNNNNNNNNNNNNNNNNNNNNNNNNNNNNNNNNNNNNNNNNNNNNNNNNNNNNNNNNNNNNNNNNNNNNNNNNNNNNNNNNNNNNNNNNNNNNNNNNNNNNNNNNNNNNNNNNNNNNNNNNNNNNNNNNNNNNNNNNNNNNNNNNNNNNNNNNNNNNNNNNNNNNNNNNNNNNNNNNNNNNNNNNNNNNNNNNNNNNNNNNNNNNNNNNNNNNNNNNNNNNNNNNNNNNNNNNNNNNNNNNNNNNNNNNNNNNNNNNNNNNNNNNNNNNNNNNNNNNNNNNNNNNNNNNNNNNNNNNNNNNNNNNNNNNNNNNNNNNNNNNNNNNNNNNNNNNNNNNNNNNNNNNNNNNNNNNNNNNNNNNNNNNNNNNNNNNNNNNNNNNNNNNNNNNNNNNNNNNNNNNNNNNNNNNNNNNNNNNNNNNNNNNNNNNNNNNNNNNNNNNNNNNNNNNNNNNNNNNNNNNNNNNNNNNNNNNNNNNNNNNNNNNNNNNNNNNNNNNNNNNNNNNNNNNNNNNNNNNNNNNNNNNNNNNNNNNNNNNNNNNNNNNNNNNNNNNNNNNNNNNNNNNNNNNNNNNNNNNNNNNNNNNNNAAUUUCACCUUUGGCUGUCACCAGGCAUAGGCUUCCCACCCAAGCUUUCCUCCUCUCUUAUGGCAGGAUUGAUACUACUUUUUGCCCCUUCUGUGAGAAAGUGCCUGACUCUAUUGACCAUCUAUUUUUUAAGUGUCGGGUCACGGCUGGUUUGGCUUUCUUUUGGGCAAUCAGAUGUAACCUUCUGUGGCGAAACCGGUCUUGGGAUGAAAAUCUCCUUUGGGCCACAACCUUUCUUGUGGGCAAUGACUUCUUCAAAAGCAUGGCGCGAUUUUCUUUUCGCGCUCUUUGUCAUAUCAUUUGGAGGAAUAGGAACAAUAUUCUCUUCAGAGAUGAGCCGCUGUCCAUUCUAGCCAUGAAGAAUCAUCUCCUCAAAGUGGUCAAAGAUAAGGCACUCUUUUUCAGGGAUGUGGAAGAUUCCUUCAGAAAUAGGAGACUACAGCGCAGUUGGGACUUGGAUCUGAGUAUCUUUGCUCUGCGCGUUUCCCUCUCGGGUGACUAGCCGUCUCUAGACCGACUGAUGUUGGUCUUUGUGUCGUCGUGCUUGUCUGGCGGUUGUUCAUGCUGUCUGGGUCUCUUUCUUUUCUUUUCUUGCUCUUGCCACUUGGCCUCUUUCUCAGCUUCCUUCCACUCAUAAUGAGCCUGUUCAUCUUGAGUGCAAGUUUCUAAAGCCGGUUCGUUUUGUACAUUUUGGUCUUCCCCAUUUAUAUAUUGCUUAUUUUACCAAAAAAAAAAAAACAAAGAAAUUUCCACAUUAAUUAUGUGCAAAACCCAACGCUGCCUAUAGGAUAUUAGAACUACUUGGUAUUACAGAUUACUGCAAUACAAAAAACACCGAUCAUGCUAGCAUACAUGUUCGAUUCCCAAUAUUUUGCCAAUUGGAACAAUUAGAUUGGUUCUGUUCCAUUAUAAGUUAGAUGUAAGAUGGCAGAGGCUCCCUGUUGUGAUCACCAAUUGGUUCCAUUGUAUUUUCAAUGCAAAGACCAGAUUCCUAUAAGUUCAAAUAGUGCAAGAACAAUAUAACAAGCUAACUGAAAAAGUCAUCGAAGUCACAAAAUGGAGAAAAAUGAGUAAAACUUACCAGAUGAUCGGAUGGCUCGCAAGCAAAACUAUGUGAGGUUUCUCAAAAGUUAUCUUGGCAAAUGCAACACUGCUUUUCUGACCACCUAUUUAUAUGGGCAAAGAAUCAUGUUAUAUGUGCAAUAACAUUCAAAAAGCCUCAGAGAAAGUACAGUGAACUGCAAUUUAGAUUACAAAUUAACUCACCUCUAAAAGAGCUUCACGACCUCACACAAAAAUUGCUUCAAUAAAAUUUUUUCAUAUGCAACAGUAACAGAGAGGGAGGAGAUGUAUCAGACAAGGUUUGCAUUCGUCGAACUGCAAGAUUUCCAGUUACACCAAACAAACACAAGUAAGCUCGAAACUUUUGUUCUGGAACUCCCCACACGAAAAAUGCCACAUAAGAAGGUAUUUUCAGAUAAAAUAACAUAAUGUAAGACAAAAUAAUAUUUCACAUUAGAGUAAACGCACAUGACUGAUACUUUAAAGAACUAAAUAGUUUUGCCCCAGAGGUCACUGCUGACAACACAAUCACAGAAGCAGGUAGCGUAUCAUUUCAAUCUCAACCAAACAAGCAUAAGUAGUUUGGCUACAAAUUUCUUGCAAGCUUUUAGUAAUAGUUCCUAACCCACUAGAGAUCAAGACCCAAGCGGAAGGUGAUUUAUGGAAUAUCAAUGCUGUCAUGAAUUGGUGUGGCAUUGAAAGGUUGGAGCCAUGAGGCGCCCCAGAAUUUUAUCCCAGAUCGACUGGUUAAUACUACAAAGGAUCAUCAUCAACAAAAAGAAGGUUCUCAAUGAUAAAGGAAACCAUUGAAAAAAAAAAAAAAAAAGGAAGUGCAUCCCUUUUCUUCACAAUCAUAUCACAGCAUCCACAUAACUAAUCAUGUUUUUAGAUUUUAGAAAAGAUUAUUCUUAUUUAGAUCGAAUUCACUAGAAGAAAAUUUAGAACAUCUCAAUGCACCAUAUAAAAUGAAAUGCUUCUUUUUUCUAUUAUUAAAUUGCAAAAGGUGACACUUAACAUUGACAGCAUUAGCCCCACCUCAACAGCAUUCGCAAGUGAUCCUUCCAAGAGAUUUUGCCAAUACAGAUCACAGUGGUAUUUGCAAAGCACCACAGUGAACAAGCUUAAGCGCAGAAGAGAAAAGAAGUUGGGAAGAGAAAAUACAACAAACGCUGAAAAGCAUAGUGCAUUUUGAUUCACAAUUUGUUUGGCGGGUCACGCAAGUGCGAAAGUAAGCACAGUUUUUGGGCAUCAAGAAGAGUUCAAGAUAUGUCAUCAAUAUAGCAAGAUGCAGCUUUGUGAACAGUUCGUUCUACAUAUGUCAAUCUUUCACCUUCAGUGGCUGGUUUUCGAAAAUUUAUGUGAAAAAUCUGAAUGAGGAAAAUCAGUUCGUAUCAAGCAUCGAAUUUAGGAACUGGCUUCACCUCAUUCGGUGGGUGCUCAUAACUCCUCAAACCUCCAGAGCUGGUGAAGCAGUAUCCUAAGUUGGAAGAGAAGGCAAUGUUAAAAAGGUGAACAAUUUGGCGCUCAAAAACCAUUGGAAGAGCAACAUUGUAAGUGAAAAUGCACAAAUCAAACAUGCAUACAGGUAAAGAGCACCAUUUUAAACAUAAAUUAUAAAUUUAGGUUUGGAACCAAUUUUUCCAAUAUGAUGUUACCCAACAAAAUAACAUUCUCCUAGGCAGGCUUUGGUUGCCGAUCUCUUCUCUGAGGAUGGAUAAGCUAUCAGAUCAGAGAUUGAGUCUUGGGGUUCGCCGCUUCCUUCCUUAUCUGGAACCCAAGAUCGGUUCUGUUGGAGGGAGGACUCGACGGGCUUGUUCUCGGUGGCCUCGGCUUGGGAGGCCUUAAGGAGGAAGAAGGCCAGAGUCAAUUGGCAUUGUUUCAUUUGGAGUAAUGCCAUCCUGCCUCGCUACCAACUGAACCUGUGGCUCAUCACCAAGAGGAGGUUACCUACUCAGUCUCUUCUCAUGUCUUAUGGUAGGAUUGAUGCUGCUUCCUGCCCUUUUUGCAACGAGGUGCCUGAUUCAAUCAAUCAUCUUUUUUUUGGUUGUCGCAUUACCUCGAGUAUUGCCUUUUUUUGGGCUACUAGAUGCAAUCUCCCCUGGACCAACAGGACUUGGGAGGAGACUCUCAGUUGGGCCAUUACGCUGAGCAAGGAGUUUUAUAAGUGUGUUGCCCGGUUCUCCUUUGGGGCGCUGUGUCACAUCAUCUGGAGAAACAGGAACAAUAUUCUAUUCAGGGGGGAGCCGUUAUCUAUUUCGGCCAUGAAGAAGCAUCUCCUCAAGGUUGUUAAGGAUAAGGCCUUUACCUUUGAAAAUGUUGAGGACUCUCCCAGGAACAGGCGGAUGCAACGCUCGUGGGAUGUGGACCCCAUUAUCUUCGCUUCCUCUGAUUAUAGUCUGACUUAGGCUUUUCGGUGGUUGUUUAGGUGUUUUUGCCAGGCUUGUUUUGCCGUUGGCUUGCUGUUGGUCGUUUUGUUUGCUUGUCCGCGGCUUCCUUUCACUCUUAAUGAGCGUGUUCAUUUUGAGUGUAAGCUUUUGGAGCCGUGUUGUUUGUACAGUUUGACCCCUAUUAAUAUAUUGCUUACUCUUACCAAAAAAACAAAAACAAAACAAAAUAACAUUCUCCUCUGAAUUCUGCUUAACAUCAGCAGAGCUCAUCCAUCCUUACUUUUCAUAUUGCAAUGCAUGGACUGAACCCCAGUGGAGCCGCAUCAACAAACCGAAAAAAAUAAUUACCUUUAGGGAAUGGUGCGAAAGAUUUCCCAAAGCCCAUCUUCACGACUUCUGCAUUAUCCAAGAGAACAAGACUGCCUCCAGACUCAAGUCCCCAGAAGAAAGGAACACUUCCAUCAACAUCCUGCAUGAUUCAGAGAACAGAAAGGAUUAGAUAUCGAUCACAGGUGACGGGAGAGAUUGAGAGUUAUAUCCCAGAACCAAACCAAUGAACAUUAUUAUUACUCAGAGGCCAGAAAAGCGGUUUUAGAACAGCUGUCGAAGAGCACAAAACCAAGCUUCCUGCUGAUGUCUCUCAUAACUUGAUCAGCAGGGUAAGGCCUCCGAUCCCCAGAGUCCUAUAAGCUUCUAUGAUGAUGACGACCACAUUAGCAGUUUUGUUCCAUCCAUACUGCUGCUUAAGAAGAGCAACAUUGUCUAUGUGUCCUUGGAACAAGCAGAAGAUAUUAUCGACAACCGCAAACAAUCUGCCACAGAGGGUAAGGCAUGUCAAAUCUUGAUGUGGGAUGAGCUGAUAAAGAAGAGAAGACAGUACCACAAUUUCCAUCAAUUAACAAUCCAAUAAAUUUCAUUUUCUGGCUUUCAAAUGAACUAGAGACUGGAGUUCCACUAUCUCUUCGAGGCUGAUAUAUCGAACCUUUCAAAAUAUCACAAUAAAGUCCACCAAAAAUCAGUUUGAUCUAACUGUUGCCUCUCCAAACAAUGAAAUCGUGAUUCUUUUUUUUUUUUUUUUUUUUUGUGGUUAAAGCUACCAUUAUCAAGAGAUGGAGUGGGUAUUUGAAUAGAAGAAAGAUAAACUUUAUUCUUUGACUAGGUAAUCAGUUUUUAAGUGGGUUUCGGCCUGCAUGGUUCGUUCAAAAUUUAGCUGUUUCAUUUGCAUAUUCAAACCCCCGUUUUCAAUUUAUCCUUCCAUCUAUACAAUAACUGUUAUUAGAAGAAAGAAAGCUUCUUAUUUUGAAUAUUGACCUGAACAUGUUAAAAGGAUAUUAUCCAACCAAUUCACGUACAGGAUUUCAUAUAGUAUUUUUGGCUAGGCAUGGCCUACAAUAUAGUUACUAAAAGCAAUUCUGUACAUAGAGUCAAAAGUACAAACUUUUUAAGAUAUUGGCAAGUGAUACUGCAUAUUCAAUGUUAAAAACUUAAGACUCAUCCUUCCAUGAGCCCUAAUCAAAUGACAAACAAGGGCUACUGUUACCGUGAGUACAUCCUAUAUAUCAGCAGCAAUCCUCUCUUCAUCCUUUUUCGCUCUCUCUGUAACAAAGCCUCAUUUUAUGUUUUGUAAGGUAAUGUGAUGUGAUCCCAUUGAACCACUCUCGGCUGAUGACGAACUAAACUUGCCUGAUUCAACGAGGACUGAAGUAUCUUCUUAUGAUCCUGGAAAUUCCCAUGGAAAGGCACCAGCUUGCCUUGAGAAACCACCCAGAGCUCAUCCAUGCUUCCAGAUAUUGGAUGCUCAUUGUGACUAACCUGCAAAUCAAGGUGAAAAGAUGGCUAUUAGCUGUAAAGGCAGUCCAUCAUUGGUCAAAUUGAAGUAUUUUGACAAGAAAAUCAAUCUCACCAUCAGACAUCUUCCUUGGAACAAGACCAGACCUUGAAUGACCGCCUCAACCGCAUCCAUAUCCUGUAGUUUGGGAUAGUAAAAAUCACAGAAUCAUACUCAUCAAUCCUUAGAAAAGAAACUAGCAAUUUACAAAGAUAAAACUUUAGUAGUCAUAGGUCAUUAAAGCAGAACUUAAAGUCCACAUUUAUAAACAAAGAAAUUUCCACAUUAAUUAUGUGCAAAACCCAAUGCUGCCUAUAGGAUAUUGGAAAUACUUGGUAUUAUGGAUUACUGCAAGACAAAAACACUGAUCGUGCUAGCAUACAUGUUCGAUUCCCAAUAUUUUGCCAGUUGGAACAAUUAGAUUGGUUUUGUUCCAUUAUAAGUUAGAUGUAAGAUGGCAGAGGCUCCCUGUUGUGAUCACUAAUUGGUUCCAUUGUAUUUUCAAUGUAAAGACCAGAUUCCUAUAAGUUCAAAUAGUGCAAGAACAAUAUAACAAGCUAACUGAAAAAGUCAUCGAAGUCACAAAAUGAAGAAAAAUGAGCAAAACUUACCAGAUGAUAGGAUGGCUCGCAAGCAAAACUAUGUAUGGUUUCUCGAAAUUUAUCUUGGCAAAUGCAACACUGCUUUUCUGACCACCUAUUUAUAUAGGCAAAGCACCAUGUCACAUGUGCAAUAACAUCCAAAAAGCCUCAGAGAAAGUACACAGCGAGCCGCAAUUUAGAUCACAAAUUAACUAACCUCUAACAAAGCUUCACAAUCUCACAUGAAAAUUGCUUCAACCAAAAAUUUACAUAUGCAACAGUAGCAUAGAGGGUGGAGAUAUAUCAGACAAGGUUUGCAUUCGUCAAAGUGCAAGAUUUCCAGUUACACCAAACAAACACAAGUGAGCUUGAAACUUUUGUUCCAGAACUCCCUAUAGGAAGAAUGCCACAUAAGAAGGUAUUUUCAAAUAAAAUAACAUUGUGAAUAUUGACAGUGCACCUAAUUCUUUCCUCUUGCAAUCAAAAGGCAAUCACAUUGAAGUACUUUUCUCUUGCAAACUUCGCACAAUCGCAAAUUGCCCUUGCCAACGGCUUUGGCAAAAAUAUCCACCAAAUAUCACCAUGGCAAAGCAAGACUACCAAACACAACAAUCAUCAGUAUGGCCAAUUGAAGUCAUAGAACAAGAAAAAUCUAAGAUGAGAGUGGAUACAAGAGAAACCGAUUCCACACGAGGUCCACAGCAUAAGACUUCACAUCGGUAGCGAUUGAUUUAGUCAUCUAGUCAUAAAGAGAAACGACAACAAUGACUACCGCUUCAUUCAUUCAUUCUACCUCACACAGCACACAUUUCUUUCGCAGACAUUGUCAACAAGAGACGAAGAACAUAUCAAUUGUCAACCAAACAAAAUGUGCAGGACAACCUUGGUGAGAUAAAAAUGGAGAAGUCACAAAUACGACCUAUUUUAAUUUCACAAUAUUUACUCGAUUGCUUUAGGCGGUGCUCAAGAUUGGCAAAAGGAUUUUACCUGAGAACCCCUGCAGAAUGGCUGCACAGCAAAUCGAGAGCGUCGAUUGUGGUCAAAUGCUAAAGAUCACCUUCGAUGUCCUCCCCUCGAGCAGAAAUAUACCCUUGCGAAAUCAAUGGCUGGAUGAGACGAAGUAUGAAUUUUUCCUCAUUUUUUAUCGCACUCUUCGGAAUGAAGCGAUACACCCAAACCUUUCAGCGAUUUUUUUCAUGUCCCUCCCCAAAUCAAAACGAGUAUGGAAAUACGAUAUCCAAAAAUUAAAAAUACAAAAAUUAAAAAUACAAAAAUCUGGGAAACAAGGUCCCACAUACCUUCAGUGAAGAAAAUUAGGGCUAGAUCUGCAAAUCAAAUGAUAUGUUCGGGAUGUGAGCGACCUUGUCCCAGUCCUCGCCUGCUUGUCUUUUGCAACUCUCCUCCAAUUCUCCGCACUUGUAGAUGUUUAGGUGAGUAAGGGAUGUGAGCCUUCAUAUUGCUUGAGGGAAUGAUGUCAACAAGUUGCACCCUCUGAUGUCGAGAAUUUGAAGUGAUUGAAGGGCCUCGAUCUGCUCUGGUAUAUCCUUCAAAUUUUGGCAUCCCCAAAUUUCGAGACGCUCGAGAUUGCGGGCCUGUAGAAGCCACUGUGAGAGUGAUGUCAAUUUGGGAAGCUCAUAGAUUUCCACGGAGCGGAGACAGUGAAGGCCUCCAUGGAAAUCCAAGAUGAUGUCGCGGCUUUCGUCUUUGGAUAUAUCCAGCUCCUCACAGUCCCGGAUAGAGAGAUCCAUGAGGCUCGAUAGAUGACGCAUACCUUGCGAGAGGGAAGUCAACUUAUGACACCACGAGAUGGUAAGAGAUUCAAGGGAAGUGAGACUUUGGAAACCCUUCACAGGCAAACAUUUCGGUAACUCUACAUCCUCGAUAUUCAGUCUCUUCAACUUAUUAAGGCCAAGCAUCAUCUGAUUUAUCAACAACGCUCCGUUGGCACGUGUCAGAUCGAACUCCUCGAGAUGAGGAGUUAGUGGCAUGGCUUUUAAUUUUUCACAGUCCUCGAUCUCCAAUUGCAAUAGAAUAGGAAAUGAUGCUGGUGAAGGGGAUGAUUGGUCCGACUCAAUAUAUUCCAAUUUAGGCAUAAGAUAAAUAUGCAAAGACUUGAGGCAAGGUAGUUGGUCCAGUGGGGGGAGACGUUCACAUCUUUUGCAAGCAUUGAACGAUACGUCGACUAAAUGUGGCAAGAAAGAUACAAGGCUAUCCAUCAUCCACUUGGGAAAGCUCUCACCUUUAUAUUCCCAGAUCUCCAACCUUUGUAGAUUUGAGGGCGGCUUUAGUCUAUCAAACAGCACUUCAUCUAUUACUACAUCAUCAGUAUUGAACUCGCCCCAACUAAGUACCAAAAAUUCCAGAGAAUGCUUCUCCAUCAAUAUCUCAUCCUCGCAUUUGACUUCCGCAUUUGUUACGUAUCCCAAAUUUUCAAUUGAAAGUUCUCCCCGGAGGUUAUUAAGCCCCUUUAGCUCCCCAAGUCCGCAAUAAUUCUUAGCACGAGCUUUAUCUUUGGGCAAAAUGAAGUUCGUUAGCCUAUGCAAAGAACUCAAUUCCCCUAUUCCACAUGGCAAAUAACUAAGUUUCAAACAACCAUCUAUGUCCAGAUUUCGAAGGCCGACUAACUUCCUUAUAUCAUUUGGCAACUCUUCGAGGGCAUCACAGAAAUUGAGAUUAAGUGUUUGCAAGCUCUGCAAUUUCGUAAUGGAGUUAGGAAGCCUUUUGAGUGUGCGGUUGUAAGAGAGAUCGAGAUAAGUGAGAUACUUUAACUUAUAAAUGGACCUUGGCACCUUCUCGACCUCUGUGGCUUGCAGAUCCAAGAUGCGCAACCUCUUGAAAUUUUGAAUUAAUUGGAGUAGGUCUACUUCACUUGUUAGAUUUCUUCCCCAACCUCCAACCCUACGUUUGGUCGUCCGGAUUUCUAAUCGGGAUAGGAUUGGAUAGGAUAGGAUAUGAAAUCCUGGGAUUUUUUUAUAUCCCGUCUAGUAUUUGGUGAAUCGCAGUAUUAAAGUCGGAUAUGUUCACAUUAUGUACAUUUUUUUUUAUAUAAACGACAUAUUAUUAUAAAUGAACCUAAAUGUUCAUAAAUAAAGACGGUGAAAAUAUCUCGUAACAUUAUUCCUUAAUUUAUUUAUUAUUUAUUAUUUAUUUUAUUUUUUCUCUUUUUUUUAUAUUAUUUUCAUUAUUAUUUCUUUUUCCCCUUUCAUCAUUCUUUAAUAAAAAUUUAUCAAAUAGUAAACUGUACUAACAUACCUAAAAUACAAAAAUACCUAAAAUAUAUAAUAAAUAUAAAUAUUUAAUUUAUAGGUUGAAUGUUUAUUAUAAAAUAUAAUUAAAACUGAAUAUAGAAAUUAAAAUAAGAUUAAUUAAAAAUAAAUUUUUAUUUUCUUAAAUUAGAAUUCAAAUAUUAUUUAUAUUGAAAUAUAAUUUCAAUUUUUUUAAUUUAAUAAGUUUGUUAUUCAAGAAAAAUAACUUUCCUUUUAUGGACAUUAGAAAUCCUAUCCACCUUUAUCCCACCUCCCCCAUGGGAUAAUUUUAUCCUGUCUAUAUCCCCCUUAUAUCCGACUUUAUCCUAUCCCGAGUGAGCACCAAACGUAGGAUAGGAUAAAUUAUAUCCUAUCCCGAAUUUUAUCCCGACUGCCAAACGCAGCCCAAUAGUACACAAAAAUGUUCUCAACACACUUGGUUUCAAGCGUGAGAUUGGAAGUUCACCCAUCAAAUUGAAAGUCAAACCAUAGGAUAUAUGACGAGUUCUUUCAUUUAUUUGAUUUAUGUCAUCCCUUGCCACCCAACACUUGUUCCUUGCAACCGAGCAGGCUAGAUCAUGCAUCAAAUCAUGCAUCUUGCAAGUUUCCUCCUUCGUGUAUGGAUCUUUUUUUAAAUCUUGGAAGAAGUUACUCCAACAUAGAUCCAUGAAAUAGUCAUGACCAAUGUCUUCUAAAAGCUUACCUGAAUUUGAUGGCUGGAUAAAUCCUUCUGCCAUCCAAAGAUCAACUAAAGUAUGCUUCUUUAUCUCAAAAUCUUUGGGAAACAAUGAACAAAUGGUGAAACAUUGUUUCAAAUGUGAAGGAAGAUGGUCAUAACUUAGCCUGAGAAUAGAUAUUAUAUCGUCUUUCAUUUGAGACACUUUUGGGAGCUCAACAUCUUUAAAACGUAACCAUUCAUCUUUAGUUUCCUUAAAGAAUAAUAACCUCCCAAUAGUUCGAACAAUCAAUGGAACUCCAUAACAAUUUUUAACUAUCUCUUUACCAAUAGCUAGCAUGCUAGGAUCUUGUCUAGCCCCUUCUUUUCGACCAGCCAUUUGCAUCAACAAAUCAAGAGAAUCACUUUCAGAUAAGCCAUUAAGAAGAAGAGGCGGAGCAGGGGAGGUGAUCUUUGCAACCAAAGGAAGGCGUGUAGUUAUAAGGAUCUUGCUUCCUCUAGCACCUCCCAUCAAUAAUGAUUUCAAGUCGGGCCAUGUUUCUAAUUUUGCAUCCCACAAAUCAUCCAAAACUAAGAGAUAUCUCCUUUUAUCAAUUAUUGUCCUAAGUUUACUUUGCAACCUAUCCAUCACAUUGUGGUUUGGUGGUUCUGUCUCCUCCACACAAACUAUGAUAUCUUUCACUAUUUUUAUCAUGUCAAAGUCAUUAGAGACACAAACCCACAUUUUCAAGUGAAAAAUGUUUACUAAUCAUCUCAUCAUUAUACACAAAUUUAGCAAGAGCUGUUUUUCCAAGCCCACCAAUACCAACUAUUGGAAGGAUAGAAAUGUUCUCUUUCACAUCCAUAUCCAGUAAGAAUUUCAUGACAUUCUUUUUAUCAUUACCUCUUCCAAUAAUGUCUUCCUCACAUAUAAACGAAUGCGUCUCCUCUCUCUUCCUCCACCCUCUCUUUGCUUGCGAAUUCAUAGGUCCCUUGUCCAAGUAGAAGUUCUUUUCAGCCUCAAUAUCUAUCAAUCUCUCCCUCACUUCUCUUAUUUUUCUACUCAUCUUCAGUUCAAAAGCAAGCUGGUUUGAACUUGAGAAAAAUGUUCUUACUGCCUUGAUCAUCUGAUUGUCGCCCCUCAGUUCUCGUUGCAUAGCUUCUAUAUUAAAUUCUUCAAGCACGUCCUGCAAGUCAUAGAAAGCCUCUUUUAGUUUCUCCACCCAAUCUUUGAUUUGGGAACUCUGGUGUUGUUGCUCUUCUGCAUCGUCCAGCACAGAAUGAAGCAUGGUGACGGUGCUCCUGAGCAUCUGAAGUUCACGCUUGAUGCCCCCCUAAAUUUCCAACCUUUCCCAGUGCUUGAGUAAUCAGAUUGGCAAGGACGCUUCCACCAAUGCUGAUGACAGCUUCUGCCAUAUUUGUUCUCUCUAUCUCUCUUUCUCUAUGGGGUUGAGAAGAUUUUAGUCCUGUCGUUCCAAGGCUAGAGUCUUCUUAGAUGAUGUAUAAAAAGUCUGUCAUUGAGAUUAAAUAAGUGUACAAUAAUAGUAGAUAAUAGAAAAUAUUUAACUGACAAAUAGUAAUUCCAAAGCAUCCUAUGUCAUGUAAGAUUCCAUCCCAUCUAAUAAGUAAGGCGAGUUCCUAUUCAUACAUUCUUCUAGAAACAUUAUGUUAGAUUAUAUUAGAUUGAUUAAGGUUUUUUUCUACCAUACUGUUAAGUAAUAUGUCUAAUUAACAUUAAGGAAAUUGGGAGGUAAUUGAGUGAUGAUGUGGUUCGACCGUUAAGCUCCAUUUUGCUGGACUUUCUUCUUAGUUUGGUUUUAAUAUACGAUGCGUAAUAAAUUAAAACGAAACAAGGUAAUCACAAUGAUCGGAGGCUUUUUAAAAAAUAAAUUUAAUUUUGUGCUUUCUUAUGUAAAAUUCAAAAUGUUCUUUAAAUAUAAAAAGUCAUUAUUCAAAUUACAUAUUAAUGUUUACGUGUUGUGAAAAUUUCAUAUGUUUCAAGACAAAAUAAUGUAAAAUGUAGACCGAGACAACAUUAGAAGAAACAAAAAUAAAAUGUAAAAGUCUAUCAAGACAAGCCGUGAGCUAAGUUGGUGAUGCUCUUGAAAUCCGCUAGAGGUGUUGGACCAUGUCGUUGUCCUUUGUACUUGUUAUCUUUUCUUUUUUCCUUACUUUUUCUCUUUUUGGGCGAACAGAAAGUGUAAGGUAACAUGAUGUUGAAGCAAAGCCACAAUUUUUCACUUCAUUGGCCGACAAAUGAGAAUCAAAAUCCACUUACGAGGGCUACACUACAUCCACCACAAUCUGCUCAAGCCCGGAAACUAUCUCAUUGCAGCUUAGAAAGUUAUCAUAGCUGUCUUGAAAGGGGCAGCAGCAUAGGGAAUGCCCCGAUGGAUGCCCACUCUCUAGUGUUCAGUGGACAAGAUCAGCUUAUGCUAGGUGAUAAAAUGUUGUAUUUUGCAAGACCGUACGUGUCAGAGAACAAGACAAAUGAAGAUAUUGAGUCUCAAGGUCUAGCGUCCCUGUCAAUUUGUGCACAAUCUCUUUUGAACUCUUUACCAAGCCCCUUUUCUUAUUAGUGUUGAACUCAAGUUCUUCUAAAUCACAUCCAAC